CUAUUUCAUUCUUCAACGCGCGCGAGCGAAGUCGCGCCGCAGGAGAAUCACGGCAACAUGUCAACAUGCUCAAACCGAUGACACAGAACGCCAUGCGUGACCCGUGCUAACCAGCAUUUCGCUACAAGGGCAAGCGCUUCCGGUACACAAGUUUCUGUUCCCGACUUCUCACAAUUCAAUUGUCACAUUUCAGUUGGUGGCCGUCCGCGCGGCGUGCGCAUUUCAUCGUGACCUUCAUGCGCUUCACACUUAUCGGUGCAGACCUCGGCGACUACACUUGUCGGUGCAGACCUCGGCGACUACGACUCGGCAUUAAGCUGAGAUAGUGGGCGCAGAAGUGCAUCUCCGCCAUGCCGGUUCGCCAACGAAUCGACAAACACGUGAGAUCCCGUCCGUGAAGCUCCGAUGUAUCUCACCCGUUUGGAGAGACUCCUGUGAGACUCAGUCAGAAAACCGGUGUGUGUAUGAGUAUUGAGUGAGUGUGUCUGUUUACACAUAGGCCAACAUUAGACUGUAUGUACAUAUACACUGAUUUGCAUCUACAACGACCUCCACUAUACAUUCUUCUGUACGAAGGUAUUCUGGAUUUCAACCAGGUUGCUUGGCACACUUUUACGCCGAUAACUUAUAAAAUGAUAAGUCAUCACCUUUAACUUUGGAGCUAAAGGUACCAUUGAUUUAAUCGUCGUAUGGUAUGGAUAACAUAGUCAUCAAAUUCACGUCUAAGGUAUUCUGGAUUUCAACCAGGUUGGAAUUCCUAAAGCGAUACCUUAUAAGGUAUCGCUUUAGGUUAACGAUGAUAAGUCUGAGUUUAACGUUGGAACGUGAAUUUGAUGUAGCGCUAGACCAUCGUUCUUGAUUUAAUUGUGUCAAAAAUGUCGACAACUAUAUGUAGCGCUAGACCUACGUUCUUGAUUUAAUGGUGUCAAAAAUGUCAACAAUAUAUGGGACGAAUAGACCUUCGACCUUGAUAAACGAUACCAGGUGAUUGUUACAUUUUGGUAAGUUGGGGUCGUGUAAAGAUCGGCUAGCCGAAUACCGUAUGGGAGGAUUAACUCAAGAAUGACGAGUUAUCUGGAAAUUUUCGUUUUGAUCGAUUUUCACUCUCAAGACGCUAUUUUCCCAUUCAACCGCGCGGCGCCGUACGGCAUGACGAGCGCGGUUCCGAGGGAGCAAAGCCGAACGAGCCCGAGGAGCGCGGAGCGUCCCCUCGCUCUCGAUCCUCGCCCGCACUCCUCCGCUGCCGCGCGAGCGAGUCUGAGGUUUCUGGUGCGCUCCGCGACGGAGCGAAGGACCUCGCGAGGCGAAAUUUCCUUUCAACUCCCUUUCAAACGCUACCCGAUCAAAAAUUUCGGGAGCAACCGGGCGGACAAAUCUGAAAAUUUUCCCCUCCGGGGUGUCCACACCUGCCUGAAAUCCAGAAUACCUUCGAAGGUACGAAGGUAUAGAAUACCUUCGAAGGUAGAAUAUAAUGUCGAAUGGCCAACUUUAUUAUUUGUAAUAUGAUACUCUUACCUUCAUAUGAUAUCAACUUGAGAUUUCUUCACACACGGCGCGCCGGGCGAUUUCCAAAAUGCGCUCAACAACCCCCAUUUCAAGUUAAGCAGCGGCUUUGUCUUUGGGAAGCCGGAUUUCGCCGACGAUGCCUGCGCUGAUCCUUUUUGGACGCUCUUGGCUUGUCGCUUCAGACGAUCUCCCUAUCCCGAUGCUAUGUUUGAUGGUCGUGCACACAGUUUGGUGCGAGUUUUCGAAUCAUAUACUCGCGCUUCGCGCAGUACGAGAUACAAUGGCCACUUAUCCUUCUUGCGCAGGUGCACUGUCGUUCUGCUUGUCUACGAAAGUGAGUACUUCUGUUUAUCUGUAGAUUUCCACGGCCACGCUUUCCUCUCCGCCCGAUUGUUCCAAGCUCCACCUUGACUUUUGUCGCAACAGGAGCGCACCAGGGGCUUGAAAGUCGUUGUGACGCCGGAAAGACAGCGUUGGCGUGGCUAUUUGGAACGUUCUUCUGUUUUCUAUUCAGCACUUGUCUGGAAGGGCUCAUUCUUCGGCACUCACUCAAGGGCUGUAUUCUUCAGCCAGGAGCGAGGCAACAUGUCAAUGGCCUUUUAUACUUACACUUCGUAGUUACUAUUGCCGACUUAGCUUUUACCAUUCUCGGUACGUUUCUGGAUUAUCAUGUUGGAAACUCUUGCUAUGUUCGAAAUCAUGUGCACGCGGCUAUUGUUGUCGUGAUAGUCGGGAACUAUUUCAUCAUAGCUUGCAACUUUUUGGGCAUCGCUUUGAUUUUCAGCGUGUAUCCAGACCUCUCGUCUGAAGAAAAGUGGAACAGAAUGUUCACCAUGCUAGGUUGUUUCCUAUGCCUGCCGCAGGGAAACGGACACGAUCGUGACAGUCAGGGAUCGCUUUCGCACAUUGCCAAUUGCUUUGGCGAGGUGUUCCAAGGCGCUGAUCUUGUCCCUAGUGACAUAGCAGCAGGUCUCGCUUUGCUUGCUCUUCAGCACCGCAGAAUGCUCGAAAAUGAAAUGUUGGGAAGGAGGGCGUCUUGCAGCGCUUUGCCAAAAGGUACCCUUUUCGAUGUAGCCUCGAAACCUUGGGCAAACAAACCCCUUCGCGCAUCUGCCGUGAAUGAUGAUGAGAUUACACCAUGCUCGGGAAACAUUGACACACCUGAAGAAUUGUACAUCACUGAUGAAUCUUUAGCCAAUGUGCUCAGUGAAGCUGCACAUUAUGCGCGCUGGGCGUUGGCGGCGUAUGGAUGGUUGCUGUAUACUUGGGCAAAUCCCAGUGGUGGUCUUGCGUUGGUUUGCUCUGCGCAGGACGCACAAAACUGUUGCUACCACAGGUCAUCGCGCAUUUCAAUGGGCGGGGAUAGAAGAAACAACAGAACAAAAGGGGAUGAUCUUGAUCGCUCGGCGCUAAAAGUAUGUGCUGGAAUUAGCGAUGAUGACUUAUUUCAUGUCUCUUCAACUAAUGGGCAGGACAACAUAUUGAUUGACAUCUUAUUUUUAUAUCACCUCAGAACCCGAUAUAUCAUGUGACACGAGAAACAAAUGUUGCACCUUACAAACUGGGUUGGCGAACAACCAUACUUCAUUGCAAGGGAUUCAGCGCGACACGCUAUCGUCGUCUCAAUUAGAGGCACAAUGUCUGUUCAGGAUUGUAUAACCGAUUGCAUGUAUAAACCUGUGUUAUUAAAUGCCGAUGUAAUCGGCCUGCCUCAUCUCUCUGGAUGUCAGCUUCAUUGUCACGCGGGUGUAGUCACUGCGACGAGCUUUAUCCUUUCUGACCUUGAAAAACAUGGCAUUCUUCAUCGCCUGCUACUCGGAAAUACAUGUUCACUCGGGUCCAAACAAAAGCGCAAACAUUGGCAUCGAGAUGAUGUGUUUGGAUCCAACCGAUUUGGCGGGCAUCAAGGGUGGACACUUGUACUGUGUGGCCACUCUCUGGGGGCGGGAGUGGCAACUGUACUUUCACUCCAUUUACGCCAGACAUUUCCUUCUGUUCGGGUCUGGGCUAUCGAACCCCCAGGCGGGCUCUUAUCCGCUGAACUCGCUGCUGCUUGCCGAGAAUGGACAAUCAGCAGCAUUCAUGGGUCUGAUUUGAUCACGCGACUGUCAGGGCCUUGCUUGCUAAAAUUGAGACAUGACCUGGUGGACUCACUGGUCAGGUGUAAAGUGAACAAGUUCACACUUUUAGCGCGCCUCUCCUGUAGUCCUGAUAUUGUUGAACCUGAUGAUUUUAUUAUGCAGCCAGGAGAUCGUGAAAACGAAGCCAAUACAUUUCGUCAGGAAUUCGAAAGAUUUCAUAUCCAACAGAUUAAAGACCGGCCGCUCAUGGUAGCACCGCUUUAUCCACCUGGACGCCUAUUGCAUCUCUGCCGUAUUCCCAAAAACAGUGGGAGUCAGCCUGUACUUGGAUACGAAUACGAGGUUCGAUGGAUCUCUGCGAAGGAUUUGAUGGCCCAGGGCUUACUUGUCAGCAGAAACUUCUUUACCGACCACUUUCCAGACAAAGUAGUCGCAGUCUUGUCCGAGCUAUCUAUGGUAAAAACCCGUAAUACCUGUCCCAUUAUCUGGCCCAAAAUUCUAGCAACUCUCCACUUAUGCUUGACUAAAGCUAUAAUCACCCGUUGUAACAGAAAUUCCGCACUAAAGACCCGACGCUCGACAAAAUCAAUCGAUUGGGGACUUUUAUUCAAACCGAGGGAAACCAUGCUGCCCCGCCUACAUAGAACAUUCUCUGCAAACAGAAAGACGUUUUUGUCUCAGAUGACGAGGGAAUCACGUGCACAAACACAAUGUCGUCAACGUGUGGAAGCUUAGGCAAACAAAAGACCCGUACAACUGCGAAAUCGUCUACAUUUAUUGAGCAAAAACUAGUAGUGUCGCCUUAUGUCGACGUAUUCACUUCAGCAAUGUCACAUUUUCUAUAUCUAUUGCACAUCAAGUAUUGUUUUUCUACGGUUCACCAAAAAAAAACUUAAAGGUCCUCAAGAUCGCAGCGCUAUUAAUAUGCAGCUCCUUCAUAUAGAAUGAGUCCUUCCCAAACGUACUCAUUUGCAAUUUGCAGGACAGUAAACUAGUUUAAUGUUCCUUCCUCGUUUCCAAGCCUGAGAGGCCCACGACUUUGAUUCGAUGCUCGAACUCCCAAGGUUUCCAAGAGGCCAUUUGUGAGACGAGGCGGAGUUCAUCCUUCGCCUGCGCAACUAGCUCUUCUAUCUGACCAACCCCGAUCGAAGACUCUAUAUCAGUCGGGUUUAGUGUUUUCUCGAUGAUAUCGAGCCGGCUCUUGUAUGUCGCUUCUACAAUCUUCCGGUAUCCCGUUCCUUCGGGAAUUUUUUUCUUCACUUGGGCGAGCAUCUCCUUCACAACAGUUGCCAGGGCUUCCCUUGCAUUUGGUAAGGCCUCAAUGCCCACUAUACCAGUCGUAUGCUUGUACGGUAUCAUCGCGGUAGAUGAGUAACGGAUGCUCAUAGGAGUUUGGCCGCGGGGGGGGGGGGGGGGCGGGGGGGGGUGAUUUACGCGGGCUGGCAGGGAGAAGUUCUUUGCAACCUUCGUAUCAUCUAAGUGUUAUCAUAUAUGAAGGUAUAUAAAAAAUAUCAUUAAAAUAUCCAUAGACUAUGUUUCGUAUGUACACGCAACAUCGAGUUUUAUAUGUGUAUCCGUUUAUCAAGCAAGGGUUUUAAAGGCCGCAUCCCAGCAGCAAGUUAGGGAAGAAAAUAAAAACGGAGGUUCAAAUAAUAAAUACGAAGGUACGAAGCAAUGCAAGGUACACACGUACAUACGAAUAUAGAAGGUAGUCUACCUUCGUAUGGAAUACCUUCGUACGUAUAUAUUAAUAAUAAUACCGUCUUCGAGGAUAGAAUACGAACCUUCAUUCGUAAGUUUAUUUCGAAGGAUGUAUGAGAUUAUUAAUCUCGCUCUGAUAAAUAAUAAUAUUAUAAAUACCUUAGUUAUUAGUUCGUAUAUAUGUAAUACGAAGAUAUGAUAAAUAUUUUAUGAAUGAUAAAUAUUUAUUUAUUACCUUCGUAUUUUAAUAAUAAUAUGAAUGAAGGAAAAAUAAAGAGAAAAUGAACGAUCGAUGUUGUUGUUGGUCGUUCAUCUCCAAUCAACCUUACUUUUGAAAAAUCGUUUUCAAGCGGAUCUCGGAUGGACAUCCGUUCUUAGAGUGUUCUUAUUAGUGAUGGGCAUUACUACGAAUCGACCAAGCUGAUUGCUCAUAUAUAGAGAGUGCGUCUUUGAUACGAAAAGUAUGCAAACCCCGUUGGUUAUUACCUUCGAAGGUAAUAGCUAUCUAAUAAUAAGCUACCUUCUCGAGCUAGCUAGAGCUAUAUUUAUAGAAUGCUAUAGAUAGUAUAUAGAAUGCUAUAGAUAGUAGUGAGCCUACGAACGAAUGAAGGUGCUUUCUAUUCGUACGGCAGUAGAUUAUAUGUAGCAUGUAUGUAUCCAUAGUCUACCUUAUUAUUCUUCGUAACAUAUCUUGCUUUGCUUCAUAAGUGUAUAUAUGCACACGAAACCCUUAACAAUUACACAUAUAUUGCUAGCUAGCUAGCUAGAUAUAUAGGAGGUUAACCUUCUCUUUGCUCCAAGAAACGGGGCCGCUGUCAACGCCUGGAGAAUGGGGGGAAGCUGCGGCGACCGAGUGGACGGACCUUGGACAGCUGCUUCCGUCGCGGAAGUGCACAGACGUCACACCGCAAAAACCCAGUGCCUGGGUGGCAUCGGGAAGGUGAGACCGCGCGCGGAGGACGCGCACACAACUACCUUGAGUCUAAAUUCCCACCACCAUAAACUAAUCUUGGCACGCAUUUGGUGCUUCCUUGUUCCGAAGACGGGAGGCCUCGCUGCCUGCACAAAAUAGUGGGUCAGAUUAAUUUUACAAUCGCGGCCGAAUCAGAGGAUAAGGGCACUGCCAUUGGUCUGCAAGGCUGCCAUCCCUUGAACCAGCAAUAUAGUGAACCCUAACACGUGGGCAUUACGCAGCAAAUCGCGCGCAUGCAUCCAACGUCUCAGUUGGGACACUUGGCACACGUUUCGCCAUGCGCUUUACGAUGAUCGGCCUUGACUCACUUGCUCCUCGGUUUGCUUGGAGUGGCCGAGCCAGCAACCACCUUUCAGCUGAAAUUCGCGGUUCUUGAACGAACUGGACACGACGUGCCAGUUCGACUGUUCACAACACCAUGGGCAUAUGGAUACGUGUAAAAUUCUAUCUGUGUGUACCAUAGCUAUGGUCUUGGAACGGAUGCCGCCGAGGAGCGCAUAAAUGAUGCCGCUGGCUAGUGUUCAGUCACAAAAGUUUGAAGACAUGCAUUGCAGAGGUAACUAACACGCCAUGGGGGGAGCGUAUGCGGAUCAAUUUCUUCCCGAGGGGCGCAAGAGUGCCAAAGUGCUCGCAUGCAUCGCCGUUUCUCGAUAUGCAAGGAUAAAGGCAAUUGACGGCGGUGAAUCAGAGAAGGACUGCCAGCUCAUGGUUUCCGUGGUAUGACGCCAAAAAAAUGGAGACGUGAAAUUUUUUUCCAAACUCGAUGCUGAACGAGACCAAGAAGCCCUGACGCGAGAAAUAAACGCGGUGGGAUUUUGCAUCUCCUUCAGCAUGUGUGUACACCUCACAGAAAAGCGUUUUGGAUAUAUGCCGAGAAGGUGUCUCUGGUGAGCAAAAGAUUCAGCAUGCAUCCUCCUCCGGUCCCGAAAUUUGUGGCCAAGGCAGUGUGCCACCCGAGGUUAGGUGCAUGCCCUAGGGUCCGGUGAUAUCGUAGGCGUGAAGUGGCCCUUGCACUCAACGUGGCAAGCUGCGCGCACAUGGCCGUGGAGAACAUGACUCAUACGAAGGUAAUAGCGAGCUCCAAAUCCUACUUCAAAACGGAGGGAAAGUUAGUGAGCAUUCUUUCACGUAACACUAUUCGUGAAUACAAGCAAAGUCACUCAAGAUCUUCACAGCGAUUUGACUCCACCGCGGGGAGGGAAACGUCACCAACUCCACCGAUAAUCUGCACACUAGUGUCACCAAACGCAGCCAACUCGCGCGGUGCUGUUUUCCCAUCUGCCUUUAUCUUCACGCAUACACGCAAAAUGUUUGCCGCCGAAAGAAUAUGAAGUGGGCAACCUUUACUUGUCUUUCUCUGAGCCCAUCUCUCUGUGUAUGACUGAAAGUUAUUUCCGAGAAAGAUGUGCGAUCGAAGAACACCUGGAUUUACCCAGUUUGCCUUUAACACGUUUUCAUACAGGACAGCUUCACAGUGUGGCAUGAACCAAAAAGUCGGGUCUUUUGUGGGCUGAGCAUCUGGACCAGCAUAUUUAUCACAUUCUUCCCUUGUUAAGAGUGUCGAAUUUUCUGAACUACAGUUGCUGGUAUUGUAAGAUUUAUUCGGUUGGUUCGGAUGAUCGACGAUAGAUCCAAAGAUCUUAUGAAGGGACCCGACGAGCUCUUUAUCAACUGGCGUAAACACUGGGUCAUAAAGCUCCACGGCCGAAAAAGUGAGCCCAAAGUGUUCUAGUAAGAUUAUUGCGAAAGAAAGCUGCAAGCGAGCAUCAAUUGAAUUCGAAGGCGAGCCUAAUCCGAGAAUGAUGCAACGACUUAGGUUUGUAUUCGAACUGGUUACCCCAGAAAAUUUCAAGUCUUCGAGAAAGGUAUUGACAAACUUUGCCCCGCGGAGCUGAGAGAUGGAGCGCCUUAACAGAUCGAUGGUGCGCUCUAGCGUUACACCGGGACCGUCCUCGCUGGGGCGCACGUCUGCAUCUAUCCGGGCCUUGAGCGUUGCGAAUGCUGCAAAACAAAUCAAAAAGAGAGGCGCGACUUUCAAGAAUGUUCGCAAAGACAAUAAACGCUUGGGACUGGAGGACUGCAGGCGAUUCUAACCAUCAAUUCCACUGACUUACCUGCAGAGUUCAUCCUACGGCAAGAUUUUCUCCCCACGACGGUCCAACCUAGCCGUGUUCAGUUGCACAACAGAGUGAUUAAGACUGCCGAGACUCGCGGUUGACUGACUGAUCUACUCACCGUCCUCCGACAUUUGAAACGACGUUCACUAGCUCGCUCUAACUAAUAAGCAGAAUCGUAACCUUGGGAGCUACUGAUGAAGAUGAUAGCGGCUCGCCCUUCACUAAGUCUGUCCGUCAUUUUUUUGCGGUAGGGUCCGGGUAAACUACAAAGCGACCUCACCAGGAGGGAAAUGCGCAGGAACCUCUCCCCGUCGGCCCACGCACGCGCAAAGCUACCUCCGUAACUAUCACCUUCUUAUUGUAGUCCGAAGGACAGAUUAUUAUGCACAACAUGGCUGCUGUGUUGAAGAUUAUUUUGGGGGGUACAAGUCAUCCUUACUUGAUGAGUUGAUUUCCCCAUAUAUAUACUGACGCGCGCCACGCGCUGACAGGAGCGGUUUUCAACAUGAGCAAGAUGCGCUCUCACAUAGCCGCUGACGCGCGAGUAACAAGCGGCGCGCUGUAUCUUUAGAGUCCUCGCCGUGUCUUUAGGGGUUUGGGGUUGGGCUUUCAGGGUUUAGAGUUUAAACAGCCGCGAAGCGGCUCGUCGGCCACUCCCUAUUUACAUCAAUUUCCUGAAGCAUGCCACGCGCUGCAGGCCCCUCCCUCUAAAAAAAAAAUUCAUAACGCAGAUGCACAACAUCCCACGUUAAAUACCUUCUUUCGAUAAUAAUAAACACGAGGUACGAAUGAAGGUAACUUUUACCGAAUGAAGCUUAAUAUGCCACGAGCUUUAUUUAUUUUCCCUUAUUUCAAUUAGCCUACUCCAGCCUGCCAGCUGCUGCCUGCUUUAUUUCUUGAUUUGUUACAUGUAUUACACAUAGACUAUAUGUAUGCUUCGAUUCGUAUGUACGUACGAAGGCACAUUAUUUAUUAGCUAUAUAUAUGAUAUCUAUCUGGAUAUAUGGAAUACAAGCAAUGCAAGGGACGAAUGAAUGAACGAAGCGAAGUAAUAAGGUAUGGAAUACAUGAUAAUCUCUAUCCAUACACGUGCGUGCUAUCCCUUAGAAAUAUCAUAUAUAUACGUAAUACGAAGGUAAAUAAUAUGUCGAAGGUAUUACGUAUGUACAUAUGACUUAUAUAUAUAUGUAUUCUGGAUUUCAAUCAGGUUGGAACACUUUUACGCCGAUAACUUAUUAUAAAAUGACAAGUUAUCACCUUUAACUUUGGAGCUAAAGGUACCAUUGAUUUAAUCGUCGUAUGGUAACAUAUAUAAGUGUAACAUAGUUAUCAAAUUCACGUUCCAACGUUAAACUCAGACUCAUCAUCGUUUACCUACAGCGAUACCUUAUUAUUAUAAGGUAUCGCUUUAGGUGUUCCAACCUGAUUGAAAUCCAGAAUACCUUCGAAGUAAUAAGGUAUAUAUAUACCAGUUAUUAUCAUGAUUAUUCCUUCUGCGAAACACAACUAUCUGGUUCGAAGGCUGGGAGGUUCCAUGCAACGCGUGCGACGAGAUACGUCCAGCGGAAUCGAUGACAAACGACUAAUUCCAAUAAUGCAUAUUGGACGGCGGCGUUAACGUCGUGUCCUGACCGCUUCCGGUAGCGAGAGCACCGUUCAGCGCUUCGGAUAUGCGAUACAAGGAGAACUACUUGUGAAACUGUUGUAUUUUGCGACAAACUCUGAAGAUGCAUUUUUCAACGGCUUGGUAUCAUCAGCCUUGCUUUGUUGAGCGGUGGACACUGUUGUCAGUAGUGCUUUUGAUGCAAGUGGAGCUCUUCAGCUGUGUCUUUACAGAUGCGCUGCCGGAAUUUCACUUAUACCCGUCAAAAGGAUCGGCCAACACCAUCUUUAAAAUAGGAGGCCCAGACUAUCUGAACUCUUCACGCACCCGUUUUCGGUAUGGCCUUUUAUGUGGCUUUCACUCGUCAGUUUCUUUUCCAACGCUGAUAUUCUCUUCGCAGAAUCGGGAACCAAAUAUUUUUACCAUUCGGGUUUGAAAAAGUCGGAUACGAAUCGAUAGUGGGUUUAGAAGUUUCGUCGCUCGAAGGCAGCUUUUUUAGUGUACAAGUGACUCGAAACGGACGCGAUUUUUCUGACACUGGUAUCUUGUUUCAAUAUGGUAGGAUUAACUAAAAUAUAACUUAAACCGAUGCGCGUUUGCUGGAUUUCGUUGUUAAUCUUGUUGAAAUUCAGUUCAUGCAACUUUGAAUGACGUGCAUCCAGUAAAAGUAAUGAAAAGCGGUGGAACGGUUGUAACGGUAAUAAGAGUAAAACAACGAUUCUGUAAGUUUGCGAGACCAUUUCCUUCCUCGACAGAUACGCGGCAGUGGAUUGUCAGACGGGUACUAUUGUCGCUCAAAUGGCCUUCCAAGCAUUCUGGUUGAAGGAGCAUCGACGUCUUCUGUACUGAUGAAGUGUGAAAUUUCCAUUAUGGAACAUGCAGAGCGCUCCACAUCUCGUAUUUUCAUUUCAGCAAAUCCAGAUCUUGGCCUGCUGUCCGAAGGCCAAACGCUCCACUUGCUAGGUCUCCCCAAUGAUUUAAGUAGUUUUGUACCAUCACACUUAAUCUUGCUUUCAAAACAGAGGAAGCAAAAUAUUCGCGACUAUCUGAUCUCGAAGUGCAGCUCCAAGGUUCGCUAUCAUUUUGACUUUUUAAUGAUUCCGGCAAUGAGAGCAUGGAACAUUUUAUACACGCACACACAUCUGCAGUAUAACGCUGCUCUCCGCAUCAUACGGAAUUGCACUCCUCGAUCUCAUCAAAUCUGAAUAUAAUUCACUCAGGGUCCCUCUUUACCGAUCAAUCGGCGUCUGUGUGGUGCAAACUGGGAAAUAUAUGUUCCUUGGGUCGGAUCAUAUCUGCGACGCGGUGAGAGGACAUUUUAAGGACAUUUUAAGUUUGAUGAUCAAAAGAUUCAGUUGGCCAAACAACUCAGAAUGAGCUGCACGGAUCAAAUUCGGCAACGUGAAGGACGUCACUUGCAAAUAUCAAUGAAUCAGGAAAGCUUCACGAGGCGACUGACUGAGGCCAGCCUUGAGUUUUUCAUUCUCUCUGUAGGUCGACUUCACAAUUGUUCAGGACAUGCACGUCGCCCACGUUAGAGACACAGUUAGAAACAAACGCGAUCGCGAAGAAGAAGAGCACCGCAUUUCCGAACGUAAGAGUCGAGUCGCCCUUUCGAGGUUCCUGGAUGCAGAGAGAGUAAUCAAUGCGAGAUACACGGUACAGAAUACAGUUCCAAUAAAACCCAAUAUUUUUAUGACACCGUUUAGCCAGGCUAUUUCCAUCGCCAACACAAUGUUACAAUUUCAUCAUUAUUCUGACUCAUCAGUGUCGUUCACUUCUAUGUUGCCGCCAACCAUCGACUCUCUUAAUCCAGCCGUUGGGACGUUUGGAGGCGCUCAUAUGACCUGGUUGACUGGCAAAAAUUUUGCAAGUUCAUUAGUUCAUUUCUUGUCAUGUUAUCUCGAUCUGACUAAUUCUUUGUGAUUUGCUGUAGAUAAAUGAUGAUGUAUACAAGUUGCACUGCUCAUUUGGGAAUAUAUCUCAAUCUGCCCGUUUCAUAUCAUCAUCAAUCGUCACUUGUGAUGUUCCCAUGGUGCUAAAGGUAAUUUUUGAAAGGAAAAUAUACUGUUUCUGAUCCAAAAACGCACGUGAGCCUCCUGUUCUGAGCCUUACGUUAACUUGCAGCAUGGUUCGGUUGAUCUCACGAUAUUGUCCUCAUCGACAUCGUCGGGUGUCCGAACAGAGGUGAUCAACGUCGAUUUGCAAGAAACUUCAAACAUCAUUUCAAAAACGUCCAGUGGCUCUCAUGGUGUACGUAUUGCAGGCCGGUUUACACUACACACUUCUCGCCCGUGCUCUUGUAGGAUCACUUGCACCAAAACGGGGAACUGCGAGGUAUAUAGAUUGAUUAUUUUUGCAUCAUCGCUUGGGAUGUUAGUCGUUGAAAAACUGCAGGGGUGGUACCGUACUUCAUCUACGUGGAUCUGGGUUUUUCAACUCAUGGGAUUUGAGGUGCAAGUUCGGAAGUAUUCAAGUUAACAUUGCAUAUGUGAGUGAAGCCGAAAUACGGUGCUUUUCACCUUCACGAGCUCACGGGGAAUCCGACAUGCAAGUCAUCCUCAGCGGUCGACAUGUUUGCGGCGCGUCGGCGUACAUGUUUGUUGUAUAGCGAACAAAGCGCACUGAUGAAGCCCCCAGUAUUGAAGAGAUUGAAACCGGCCUUUACACGUACAUGACAUUUCAUUCGCAACAAGAAUAUAGGUCAGACACGCUAACAGUGGCUGCUGGAAACUAAAUCUAUAGCGCACUGAUGUGUGCAGCUCACUGCUGUUGACUGGCGCUUGUGUUUGAGUUGCUAUUGCACUGAAAACCCUUCUUUAACUGCGUGUCAUGUAGCUCCAGAAUCAAUAUCAUUCGCCUGAUGCUUCAUAAACAUCUGCUCUUCUUGAACCAUGCGGAAACUCUUGAGCUUUUCCUGAUGAGUCAACGCGGGAUUUCAAAAGAUUCCUGGCAUUUUCGCAGUAAGCUGCAUACCACAAAUCGUUUCCUCUUCACCUCCAUCAGCUUUGCCGAAUGCAUGCCAUGAAAAGUGCGAGCUCCCUGUGAUAAGGAAGGACGAAUCAUGAAAAAAUAUUUAAAAGAAUGAUCUGUUUCAGCUUGCCGUGAUCCAUGGAUGCUUUAAGGCUUCGUUCACCGUCAUUCGUGCUGUUGUGUCGACCUGCAAGUGCUAUGUGACUUUCUGAAACGAAAAUGAUUAAGGUUAGCUCCUACUGUUAAAAGCCUCUGCACGCAAUCUUUGGCUUCUGAACUAAUGUGGUUCCAAAGGUAGUCAUCCAUGGAGUACUCCCCUGAUCGAAUCUUCUGAAAUAAAACCUGAAGAUGUACGCGUCAAUGGUCUAAACUGGGACUUGUGAGUCAUCAGAAAACUUUGGUGAGCUCCACGAACCUGCUCAUCCUCAAUAUCAAAUGGUGAGUUGCCCUAUGAUUUUUCCAGAGCAUCGUCAUCCAAUAGUUUUCACCAAGCAAACAGUGUAGCUAUAUCUAACCGUCAAAAGGAUAUAUACAAUAACGCCAAUGCUCCACAUAUCAACUGCAGGGGUGUACUGCGCGUCUUUUCACAUUAGGACAUGCUAGGUGCUGGAAAAGGCUUGUUAAAGUACUGAUUUUUACCGUUUCUGAAUUUGUUCCGAUGUCCAGAAUCUCUGGCGCAACAUAAAGUGGAGAACCACAGAUUGUUCGCAACUGACUGUCAUCAGUGAAAUACCUAGCAUUCAUGAGCACGUUUGUAAACUUGUAUGCCUCUCUCAAAACAUUUGCGACACACCUUGCAAGCCCAAAAUCAGCAAUUUUUACCUUGGCUUGAGGCGUCAGGUUUGAUAACAUAAUGUUCUCGAGCUGGUGAUUGCAUCAGAGAUGUUAAUCCUUUAAAACAUGUCAUAUGCACUGCUGCAGUCACCUUAAGGUCGCGGUGCACUAUAUUUCUUUGAUGCAGGUAUUCAACACCUUUCAAAAUCUGUGAAACAACCGCACGCGCAUCAUCCUCAGAGAAACAUCCGGCGUUCGUUAUUCUGUAUCUCAAUAGGUUGACGAUCCCAAUCGAACGAAAAUCCAAGUUUUUCACCUUUCGAGCAGCUCUCCGCCCGAGGCAAGCUCAGUCACGAUGAAUACUUUUGUUGGGGCAACGUAUGUGCAGAUUAACCGGAUUAUAUUUUCGUGUUGAACCUGAUCAAAGGAAAGAUGUCGGACCAAGCUGAGACAGUAGACUAUUUUUUUAUAAAGCAAUCAUCUCGCCUCUGAGAGAAUGUAAACCUCGCGUUCGAGACUGCUGUCCGAAGGAAAAUACUGUGUCUUGUCUACUUCCUGGAAGGAGCUGUAAGCCUCUUUGUUUCGGAGGUUCUGUAGCCUACUACCUUAACUGCAACAAACUCGUUGCUAAGCCGAUCAAGGCCUCUAUGAACUGUUGCGAAACCUGUCGAUACUCACGAACUGUAAUAUAAAUACAUUCGCGAGGCAAGAUGCGGCCAUACCUCCAACACCGAUCUGUUCGAUAAGCGUGAAGCGUUGGAAAAACUGUUCCGUGUCCUGCCCGAACUCAACUCGGCUUGACAUCCCCUUUAGCUAGGAAAAGGUUGGGAUGAAAUUUCGAGCAGGCGCGCGAAGUCAAAGAAGAGAUCAACAGGCAGGCAUCGACUUAUGACUGAGUCCCGGCAUGCUCUGCCCUAUCGUGCACGGAUAGAACUGUCGGCUGGUCGAGUCAUCGCAACUGAGGGGAAAUAUUGCCGAAUUUCCCGCACGUUCAUAAAUAAAUCCCUUAAGAUUAGUCUACUACGUACGCGUACAUAUAUACGUAUAUAUAUGGAUACGUACGUAUCACUUACGUAUCUAUUAGCUUCGAAGCAAGGUACACAUAUAUAUAUAAAUAUCAGUGUAAAUAUCUACAUACCCACAUACCUUCAUUAUUAUUCGUACCUUCGUUCGAAGGUAUAAUAAUGUGAAGAUAUGUAUGGAUACCUUCGUCGUACGAAGGUAUGGAUAUAUAUAUUAAAAUACCAAUCAAGUAAGCAAGCAAGGUACGUUACCCUCGAAGGAAGGUACCUUCGUUCGUACCUUCGAAGGUAUAUAUGGAUACCCCGAAUGAAGGUAUUUAAAAAAAUUCUCCAAAGGUCGAAUCAAUCGUCUGUGUGAGUGAUCGUGUGGUGCGAGAAUUCGUCCUCUGGGUGGUCGGCAUAGCCGCGAGGCAUGCAUGCAUACACGAUACUAUCGUUCGUACUAAAGGCUUGAUUUACAUCUUUUUAGGUCGUUGCGUCACCCUAUCAAAUAUGUAAAUGUAAAUAUCCAACCCUAUUUAAAUACCCGUUUAUAUGAGUAAACGUAAUGUGACAACUAUGAGACGCUGACUCAAGGUUCUCGAGCUAAAAAUCCAAAAAUGUUGACAACUAUAUGUAGCGCUAGACCAUCGUUCUUGAUUUAAUGAUGUCAAAAAUGUCGACAACUAUAUGUAGUGCUAGACCAUCGUUCUUGAUUUAAUGGUGUCAAAAAUGUCAACAAUGUAUGGAACAGAUAGACUAUCGUUCUUGAUUGAUAAACGAUACCAGGUGAGUGUUACAAUAAUAAUGUACCUUCGUACGAGACAAACCUUCGACCUUGAAAAACUAUACCAGGUAGGUGAUUGUUACAUUAUUUAUAUGGAAGUUAAUAAGGUGGUGUAACAUCGCUCGGCUAUGCUAGCUAGUAAUACGAAGCAAAGGUAUGGAUACGUACACAUAUAUAUACUAUCAUAUGUCCACAUACAUAUCUUCGUUCGUAUGAGUUUCGUAUGUAGUUAUUUAUACACUGUUACUAUGGAUACCUUCGUUUAAUAAUCAACGAGAACGGACAUCCGUUUAAACGGAUUUUCAAAACUGAUCGUGCAUACAUGUAUGGUGACAUUUCCAGAUAACUUUUCCAACACUUAAAUUCCGUGAAGGUUCGCCAACGUUUCCGCCGGCCGUGUGCCCCAGAAGUCAGCCCGCGCGCGCAUGAACUAGAGAGCGGCGCACCCGCCUCCGAAUCACAAUCGCCCUGGUUUAACCGAACAACCGGUAGCUCCUACAAUGAGCGGUAUGUCUCCUCGAUUCUUGUGAUCAGCUCGUGCUCUGUUAACUCACGACCCGCCCUGGCCACCACGGAAUCUGUAUCGGGACCUGGCCCCAACGCUGUGCUCGUCAGCCCUCGGAGUCGGCUUGCUCACAUACCGCACCAUCGCCCGUCUUCGUAUAAAUAAACAGGACGAUCCACAGGAACCCCGACGGAUCCCGGGCGACAGCAUCCCCCUGCGUCGAUAGUGGCGGGGGCUCCGGGUGCUGGCCCCUCUCGAAUGGGGCCAACUCCUGUUGGAGGGAAAGCUGUCCCUCAGCUCGGCCCGAUGUCCACGAGUGCGCAUCCAAAAAGCUCUGGGGGGGGCGAAGCUGGCGCUCCUGGUAGCAUGAUGCUACCGUCGUUCCCAAAUUUGUCGGGCUCACCACCUGUUCCAGGACUGCAGCACAUUGGACCACCUCCGAGUGGCCCGCUUUCAAGAGGGGUUGCCCAGCCAACUGCCCCACCAACCGUCCAGAUGGCGAACCUCGGAGUCGGAGGUUUGCCCGGAUCACUCAAACAUCCUGGACUUCCCGAUCGACCUAUAGACCCCUUGGGACACUUUACCAAAGGCGGAAGUUCAGUGAGGUCUGCCCCUAACAGCGGCCUGGGUCCAUUAAUGCCUCCGGUAUUGGCUCCCCCACAACCGCAAAGAGUGGGCGUCGCGACGUCUUCUUCCAUUGGCCCGGCCAUAUUAGGAGGGUACCCUGGGGUGGCUUCGUCGGGACAUGGCGCGUUUCCUUCGCCUGCUAUUAUGAGCACGACGGGAACGACGGCGGGCUUCAAUGCAGGAUUGCCUCAGUCAAGUGGUCUGGCAAGCGGGGCAGCCACGCAGCAAAAUUCUUUCGUGGAAGAAUUCUCCUCAUUGCAGCUCGGAGGCGGUGGGUCUAUGGGGGACCAUGGCGCGGAUCCAAGCCAAUUUCCCCGUCCUGGGGACGACGUUCCGGUGCCAAAUAGUGAGUUAAGCUGCGAUCCACGAUAUCUUCGCCUCACGGUGAACGCAUUGCCUGCCAACCAGGCACUGAAGCAGAGAUUUGCUUUGCCUAUUGGCUGCAUGGUACGCCCACUUAUUCCUGGAGAAAAGGUUCCCACAGCGCAAUUUGGCAGCACGGGCAUAGUUCGGUGCCGUAGAUGCCGUACUUAUGUCAAUCCGUUCGUACAUUUCAUCGACGGCGGUCGAAGGUUCCGUUGCAAUGUGUGCCAGCUGCCGAACGAGGUACCGGUCGACUACUUCUGCACGCUCGACGCAAAUGGGACACGAAGAGACAUUGCAGAGCGUCCCGAGUUGAGGCAUGGAACGGUAGAGUUCAUCGCAAGUCAGGAGUACAUGGUCCGCCCGCCGAUGCCUCCGACGUAUUUCUUCGCAUUUGAUGUCUCUGCCAACGCGGUGUCCAGUGGCUUCUUGGCGAAAGCUGUGAAUACAGUGAAGGAAACCCUUGACGAGCUUCCAGGAGGUGAGCGUACACAUGUGGGCUUUCUCACUUACGACAAUGCCAUUCACUUUUAUGGGCUCAAGCCUGGAAGCAUAACACCGCAGAUGAUGGUGGUGGCCGAGCUCGAUGACCCGUUUUGUCCGGCGCCAGAAGAUCUACUGGUCAACCUUGGGGACUCGCGGGGUGCGGUCAACGCCUUGCUUGACAUGCUUCCCAGUGCAUUCGCGGCCACCUCGCAAGUGGACUCGUGCAUGGGCCCCGCGGUGCAGGCAGCUUACAUGGCGAUGAACCAUAUUGGUGGAAAGUUGAUGAUGUUUCAGUGCACCUUGCCAUCUUUAGGACAGGGUCGCCUAUUGAACCGCGGCGACGAUCACAGAAACGCUGGCACUGACAAGGAGCACCUGGAACGAGCUCCUGCAGACCCUUUCUUCAAGAAAAUGGCGGCAGAAUGCUCCAGACAGCAGAUAUGUGUGGAUAUAUUUGCUACGGCAUCACCUUAUGGCGAUCUCGCGUCACUUUCCACCUUGUGUCGGUACACAGGUGGCCAGUUGUACCAUUAUCCAGGUUUUCGACCUGAACGCGACGGAUUGAAACUUUGGAAUGAGCUCAGGCAUAAUCUCACGCGUUUUACCGCGUGGGAAGCAGUCUGCAGGGUGCGUUGUAGUAAGGGCUUCAGGGUUUCCUCUUUCAAUGGUCACUUCUUCGUCCGUUCGAUGGACCUCCUCGCACUUCCUGCCACGAAUGCUGAUGCUGCACACGCGGUGCAAAUUGCGCAUGAUGAACAGCUACCAACCGGCAGCGUAUCUUACCUACAGUGCGCGCUGUUGUACACGAAUGCAGACGGCGAGCGACGAAUCCGGGUGCAUACCAUGGCAGUGCCUGUCGUGCCAGACAUUGCGUAUAUGUUCCGGAGUAUUGAUGGCGGUGCAAUGAGUGCGUUCCUCACAAGGCUCGCCGUCGAGCGCGCUCUCACUGCACGCUUGCAAGAUGCAAGGGAGUUCAUGCAACUAAAACUGUCACAGUCGAUGCGCGAGUUUCGGCUGCUCAAUACGAGUGCGGCAAGGGCAUUCAACUGCCUCAUUUUCCCGGACCGGAUGCGACUGGUGCCGCUUUUCACGCUAUGCGCAGCAAAGUCAGCUGCGCUUCGUGGACAGACGCGUGAUGUGAACGUGGACGAACGCAUUCACUCGAUAUAUGAAAUCAUGUCUGCACCUACUGAGGCUAUAUUGCGAAGGCUUUAUCCCGCUAUGUAUGCCUUGCACGUCAUGCCUCCAGAAGCUGGUUUCCCAAAUCAGGCUGGCGCAAUCGUGAUGCCUCCGAGAACGGUGCUGGCAGGUGAAAGAGUUGACGCAAGAGGCGCGUAUCUUGUUGAUGAUGGACGUCAUUGUUUGCUCUGGCUCGGAAAAAUGUUGGAUCACGGAUUUCUAAAUGCAGUAUUCGGUGCGCAAGGCCCUCCAAAGCCCGAUGUAGACUUCGAGCCCACGCUGGUGGAAGGGAUUCAGCUCAGUAAGCAAGUGUGUGGCGUGAUCGGCGAGAUACGACGAAGGGCUGCAAAUGGAUGUCAUUGCACGCUGACAGUGAUCAGGCAAGGCGAUCCCUCGGAGGCCCUUUUAUUCCCAUUGUUGGUCGAGGAUAGAGGUGCCGGGGGCGCAGGAGCCAUGUCGUAUGCUGAUUUUUUGAUCCAACUGCACAGACAAGUGGCGCAUGCUGGUGGACUUCAAUAAAACUUGUGACAUACGAGCUUUCGAGAUGUCGUGUCGUGAUGAGCGAGAUUUCCUUCGUUCGCUCGUGAUGUUGGAAUCUCACAGCGCUAAAGAAUACGAAGGUACAAAGGUACGAAGGUACCUUCACCUUGUGCAAAAGGGUAACACGUUCAGCGACCUGUGUGGAGAUUAAUAUAGAUAGAUGGUGUCCCUAGCACAAAACGGGCAGGGUACAAUUUGUCCUGCUCAAGGUUUUACUCUGUCAGGUCGAUUUUCUCAGUCUAUUUUCUUGGUCUAUAUUCUCAAAACACCAUUCUGCUUGGCCAUAACUUUUACGACCGGCUGGAAGUGGCUGGUAUUGCCCGAUGGUAUGUUACACCUUCGUAGCCUAUUUAUUUCGUUCUCAUAUGAAAAUGUCACUACUGGCUAGACCAACGACCUUGAAUUAUUUGAUACGAAGGUACCUUAACAAAUUUGAGCUCAAACCGAGAAAGCCUUGUUUUUUCCGAUAAACCAAUUUACAUCUCCUGAUGACUUGCAUAUUACCUUCGUACUAGCUAGCUAGCUGCAUGAUCGACUGCUGAGGCGAAGUCCAAAAAACGAGUGAUGAAAGUAUUCACGUCAUUCAACCUCAUCCCCCGUGCAAAUAGACUUAGCAUUUCAUGUAUAAAAUGAUACCUUCGUACCUUCGUAAAAGACGGGAUAUGGCAAAUGACCACUUUUUCGGAGGUACUGAAAUCUUACCCUGCACUGCUCUCAACGUUGGGUUGGAGUCGAAGAGCUCCAUUACCUGAGAAGGGAAAUCCCUAUUGAGCUGAGAAGAUGACCUACAGAAUCCGAUUAUCGCUCUACUUUUAAGUUCUCCAGGCUGCAGAUUGCUCCAUGUCACUAUCCUCUUCCCACCAGGUGCUAGUCUUGUAUCCAGAGCGAAGGGUCUUUAGUGGCGAACCGUCUGCAUCGCUCAAUCCGAUAGCAGUGAGCAUCUCUUGCUUUGCUUCGCCAAGCGUAAACCUGUCUUCGUCCUCUGCAAUGCAGACGAGUUCGCCCGUGUUUUGCUUUACCAUGACUUGCCACGGUGCUGGAUAUUCACGGAAAAUUGCCCCAGAAUAAUUUAUAACGAAAGGAGACACACUUAUGGUGCGCGAGUAGGCCCUUGUUCGCAGGUAGUAAACAGGUUUUAUCUUCGAAAGGAAACGAUAGUGUAGAUCUUUCUGAGGAAAAGAGAAAAGGCCGAGAUCUGCACGCAACGUGUCAAGCUCAUUGUUGAGAAACACCAGUGGCCUGUUGUCGGAAAGAAGGGAAAAGAAAUGUUCCGUGCCAGGCAGGUCAACCGUGGAUAGGUUGACAACGACAAAAAUAUCGGCAGUGAAGCCCUGGCAGUCGUCGUCAGUACUUGAGCGCGUCCGAAGUCCUUUGCCACUAAAAGUAUUAUCAAAAAAACUCCAGAUGUUUUCUGUCUUCUUCCCAUCAAGAGUGUUAAGCGCACAACCAUCAGAGAGCUCCAAAGAGUUCAAGAAAACCUUCUUGGCACGACGAUACUCAGGACCAUCGGGAACUAAUAUUUCACAGGUUUUACCAGUCUCCCUGUACACCUUAUUGAAAAUCGUGAGGGCAUACUGAAUAUUCAGGUCAAUGUAAACAUCCGAAGCUGCUUUGUAGCUCGCAUCCUCACCAGGUACGGAUGGGAAUUCCACUUCCAUCAACCUAAGACCGUCACGUAGACCAUCUAACACAGACUGGCUUGCGUGAAGGCAAAUAUCCUGAUACGAGGCUGGAUUAUAUAUGGGUCGCCCUUCCCUCCGAGACUCUCGAGCGCUCAUUUCUUGUCUUGCACUAUUCGUGAUCGUUUGUAUAGGACGGAAGUGCCUUCGGUUUCCUGACCACCUGAAAAUAUCCACCUGCGGUCGGAUGCAAGUGUUUAGCUUCGCCGCUCCCAACGUGAAAGGCGCAUUCAUGGUCUAUCCUCGUGGAUGAUGCUGUGGACACGUUCGACGCAAAUUUAUAUAUGGCUCGUCUUUUCCUCGGAAAGCUAUGGAAGGUCCAAAAAUGACACCCACUUCCGGGUGUGAGUGAAGAAGCGCAGCCACAACCGGUCAAUCGCAAGUCAGCGUUGCCUCUCGGUCGGUAACACUUACGAAGGUAUUACGAACGAGUGAAGGUACCUUCGAAUGAAGCAAGCAAGGUAUUACCUUCAUUCGUGGUAGAAUAUUAUCGAUUCGUAAUAUAGACCACUUUCCCUAUAUCUAUCGUUGACUCGUUGAUUUCAUUGACUCGUUGAUUUCGUUGACUCGUUGACUACUGUUGACUCAAAGUUUGGCGCCGAGCAGCAUCUUUGCAAGCGGCCAAGCGCGCUCGCCGUCCUCACAGGGCGCCAUAGGGAAAAAAAACACGCGCGACCCUGUUUUAGUCAACAGUCAACGAGUCAACGAAAUCAACGAGUCAACGAUAUAGGGCAUAUAUGGUAUACCUUCGUACGUAUAUAUAUGUACGUAUUUAUGUAUAUAUGACUUAUGUAUGUACAUAUAUAUCUAUAUUUAAUAUAUAUUAAUACGCCUUCAUUCGUUCGAAGGUAUUUUUAUAUAUAUACGUACGUACGUUCAUAUGAUACGUGCGUACGUACAUAGAUAUAUAAAUAUGACUUAAAUAUGUACCUUGCUUCGUGUAUCUUCGUUCAUUAUUUGGGACGAGCGCCAGUGACGAAGUCACAUUUAGUACCACAUUCUACCUCAACUUUUUUGGAACUAUGUAACGUUUAUUCGUGUUCUGAUUGGUCGAGAGCUCGAUCAUUUGCAAAGGUCAUAGACUAAACAACCGUACGGUCGUCGUUUGUUACUUUAUUGCUGACAACAAACAAAACUGUGCGAUGCCUUCCGUGUCUUUGGACGACGACUGUUCUGCGGGACGUCCUUAUCGUUGCGCUUGGCGUGCACGUAGUCGUCGUCCUCACACGCACGCCACUUGUGAACGAAGAGUCGACGCCAAGGCGUCUUCUGGUGAGGCGAUGGUAGACGUCGAAGUUGACCGAUGUAUCGAUGAAAAUUCAGCUUCAAACCAUAAUAAGUAGCCUUUCUCAAAGCGUCUUUCACCGAGGCUUCACCGAAGCUUCAUCGAGACUCGUCCCAAAUCAGCCUCCCGAACCGAACGUUCCUGUUCAUCAGUCUCACAGGGAGGCAGGCACCUACAUACGGAUUAGUUAUUAGUCUAUUAUUCGUUCGUACAAGUAGACUAGCUAGAUAGCUAAUAGACUAAUAAUAAUAAGGUACGUACCUUAAUCUUACUUAUAAUAUUACCAGUUAUAUUACCUUCAUUCGUAUUACUUUUUUUUUGAUACGGGUUAUUAUUGAGAAUCUAGGUGUUUACCACGAAUCCCGACCAACAAACCCCUAAAUUAGGAGUUCGUGACCGGGUACGGCUGCACGUAGUGUUCGUGUGCACCGUACAUUCCGCCACGAGCGCCGUGCUGGCGGUCGUUGGUGACGGUCGAUCCGGCGACCCUUUGCAUGAGCGAGAUGAUAAGCGCGACGUGUACGAGGGCGAGGUUGCGAAGGUGGAUUCGGUUUCGGAGCUCGUUCGGCGGGUCGAUGGAGUCGUAGAUGGCUUGCGUUCGCUCGUUGGCGUUGCCCGAGGCUCGGUGGGCGGUGGGUGCGGCGACGUCUUUGAGGAGGUUGGGGAACGGUUUGCCCAUCCGUCCGUACGUGUCCAUCACGAGCGGGAUGAAUUCCUUAUGCACCGCUGCUGCCAGAAUUUUCUGCUCUUCGUCUCCGAGGUUGCGGAUUCUGUCCCACGCGGGCCGCAUGUGUCCGUGGCAAGGGCCGCUUUGGCUGUGUUCCCGUCGACGAUGGGCGGCGGCGUUGCGUGCGCUGCGGCGCGGGCCUGGAUUCUCGUUGGCAAUGUCAGAGAGCGCAUGGGCUGUGUUGGCCAGGAACGGUGCGCAUGCUGCCCAGUUGGCGACCGCGGCCUGGUCUGCGAUGUGAGAGGUUUCGGUGAGGCCUUGGCCGCCGUGCCUGAGGGGCAGGGCGAUGCGUCCGCGGGUGACUUCGUCAGCCGUGUCGAGUUCUUCGGUCAUGCCAGCGAUGCGUCCAAACGCGCCGAGAAUGUCCCUGUAGGAAUCGUUGAAAGCUUGGGGGGCGAUGUUGUAAGGAACGCACUGGAGGAGGAAGGUAAUCCUUGGACAGGCGCAUAGCCGCAGCAGCAGGAGCGCCUCUUGUGCAUGGCCGGCCUCGCCGAACUUGGCGAUGUGAUCGAGGCGGGCGCGGUGCUUGUCGACGAUGUCAGCGACGAACUUUGCGGCGUAUUCCGGGGAACCGACGGGGGCGCCGACGAUGCGGGCACCGGAGUCGCCGCCGCGUUCCUGGCCGACGUCGACGCCGGCGGUAUUGAUGAUGUUGAUCUGGCCGUCCAUUCCGGUGAGCUCGGUGGUGUCGAUUUGGCGGCAUUGCGAUCCCAGGAGGAUGUCGAUUUUCUUGACGGUGAGGUCGGCGUUCAGUCGUAGGCUCUCUUGCAGGCGUAUGGCAGCUUGGAUGAGUUGUCCGGGUUCGCCCGCGGGGUUGAUGUCGUCCGCGAUGCAGUAUGCGUGUGCGCCCUGGACGGAGGUGGACGCGAGCGCCUCUUCGAUGAUUGGCUGGAUAGCCAGGCAGAAGAAGGCUGACCCCAGAACACAACCCUGAGUGACACCUGUCUUGGCGUUGACACGCUUGCGUUCGCUCGCGGUGAUGGAAGGGUUUCGACCAUGGACGGGUCUAGUACCUAGGCGACGCGACGAGGCUGCGUGUAACGCGCGCCCGUACCUUAUUAUUACUUCGUACCUUCGUUCGUAACGGUUAAUAAAAAAAUUCUCCAUGGGGCGAGUGUUGUGGUGGUAUGGUUUUCUGCAAACACUGAUUUUGGGGUUCGACCCCAAGUGGUCGGCAUAGCCGCGUCGCGCGACGCGGCGGGCACGUGCGGUCGUGGUCGCGACCGUCGUCGUGGUCGUCGGGGCGUCGCGUCGUGCGAGAUGGGAUGCGCGCCUAUCAAAUUUCGUGAUUUCAAAGCGAACCACUCACCCAGGCGCGAUUUUUUUGUACCUUCGUACCCCAUAUGAGAGGUCAUAAUUCUGCAUCUGCACCAAAACAAGUUGGGCCGCACAGCUCUAUUUCUAUCAACUGGAGUCUGACUAGUCGAGAUGGCAUGCACGCUGGGCUGCGUGCUAAGCUGGCUCAAAGGGAGACUUGGUUGUAAACGCACGGGCAGUGUGACAUGGUUGCACAUGAUCGUAAGCUUCGAAGUAUUCUAUCAAAAUCAAAACUAAACCCCAACAUACAAGCAUUAUCUUCUCAAAAUAAAAAGAUCGGAAUGAUCAGAUCACCGUUCCCGCCCAAGCUGACGCUACAUCCCAUGCAGUGAUCCAUCAUUUCCAUACAGCAACGCCGCCACAACGAGCAGAGUCGCAUUCCAUGUCAUCUCACACGCGCACAAACGAAGAGCAAGUCACGUCACGGAAACCAUAUGAUCUUUUUCGUCGACUUGAUAGAAUUAACAGUGACGAUCUCAACCUCAGAGGACGGCAGCAACAACAGAGGUCCAGCCCAAUCACGAUUCAGAUGACAGUCCAACUCACGGCGCUGUGAUAUAUUUUCCCGUGCAUGUCGGCUACCCAAUACCAACCUUUGCAGGUUUAACAUUGAAUUUCAAAAGGCAUAACCAAACAAUAUAGAGAAGGGAUCAGGUUGCGUCUUUCUCGUCAAGCCCCCAGUCAUCGCCGUCACUAUUCACAGCUUCGCCAGCCGGUGCGCUUUCGACUGGUUCUAGUACCUUGGAACCGACAACUGAACUGUUUGACAUUAGCUGUGCAUUUGAGGAGGCCGUGGCGACAGGUCUGCUGUUGACAGUGUCCAAAGAGCAAAUUUGCGUCGCAUCAUCAACGUCACUGGGAACAACAUCUACCUCUAUGUUUUCGUCCACCUUUUCGAUGAGGUUUUUUGACACGGGAAGAUUAUCAUGUUCUCCAAAGCAGCGGGCUAGCUUUCUUGAACUAGCCGGAACUGAUCGAAUUUUCUCUUCAGCAUGCAUAGCAAGAUCAAAUUUGGGAAACAAAUUUUUGUACUCUGUGGGGUCAGCAAGAGCAUCUGCAGCCUUCCUGUUCACAAGAGCAAGGUCAGCUUUCCAGAGCUCCACGACAUUCGAAACCUUCGAUGGGGCAUAUGUGCGAGACAUGAAUGCAGCCUCUGGAAUGCGCCCAGUGUCGCAUAGCAGCUCAAUGCAAUCAUCAAUUUUGUUGAGGAGAAAGAGACAGAUAAAUGCAACGUUAUGUUUACCCCACUGCCUAGCAAGAGUGGCGAGCUCUUCAAGUUUUACUGCAGAAGCAGAAGCAGAGCAUAAAAGUAGCUGACCAGAAAGAUCGCCGGCAUUGACGAGACAAGAAGAAGCAAGGUGGAUAUCACCCAAAGACAUUGCAAGCUCUCCGAGUUGCUUCCAUUUGGCGCUCACAGAUGAUGCGAGUUCGUUUUCGAUGAUUCCUCGAGCAAUACUGAGUUCUCCGAGUUGCGUGGCAAGCUCGAAUCGAUAGUCUGGGUCUGUUGCAACUCGCAGUGCAUCUGCCACAAACCCACGUGAUUCCAGAAACCGAGCGAUGUUAUUGUACUGCUCUGUUGGAAUCGUCGGCAAAAGCUCUUCCGCAGCAUCGACCUCUCCCCGCAAAAUCAACGUCUUGUACUCAAUCAGGCUCAAUGACAGAGUAUAUGAAACGACAGAGAAUUCCUUGUCAAUAAGAUAAACACGGCUCUGCGCGGCAAGGUAUCCAAGCAAGUACAUAGGUCGAUCCAAGUGAAAGAUAGUGGUCACCUCUCCUCCCACGCAAUAGUUCAAACGCCAGUCUGCAUUGUUGUAGAUGAAGCAAUCACCUACCCAUACCGCAGUGCGAAUGAUCUCUCCAAUUUCAAUCAGCAGCUCAAAAGCAUCCUCAACACCUUCGUUUUCAUCGACAUCACCUUUUUGGAGUGCGUCCGUGGUAUUCUGGGCGUUGUAUCGAAGAAUGAAGAAUGACGAGUCGCUUGCGAUCGCCACAAAAUCUCCACUGUCAGACCACCAAACAUCUUUCACACUCACGUCGAGACGACGGAUCACUCGAGACUCUGCCCAAUCAUAAAAACAAAUAAAAUCUGUCGAUCUUAAACCCAGAAGAACUCCACCAUAAAGUCCUUCAGCGGCAAAGUGUGGGCGAAAAGUUGUUUUCUCCUUGAACUGAUUGUAAAUUCUAAUCUUCGAUGGCGACUCGCGGACAGCAAACUCAGAUGAAUCCACUGACCAUCCAAAAUCCAGAGCUGUUCCAAAAGAUUUGUUCCGCCAUGCUAAAGCUGUGUAGAUGACGUAUUCACCAUCUCCACACACCGUCACAAAACGACCGUUAGGUCCAUGCAUGAGACUUUGUGGGUACAAGUCGCAGCUGCCGAGGUCUUUGAUGGCCAAGGGAAGCCGAUCCCCGUCCUGAAUAUCAUAUUCAGCAGGUAAAGAUUUGACAUUGACUGUCUGGAUAUCAUUGUGUUUUGACCAUAUUAUCCUGCCAUUUGUGUCCAUGGAGGCUACGGGGUCUUCUCGACCGAUUUUAAACAUCACGGUCCCUUCAUCAUAACCCACAGAAACUGAGUUAGAUCCCUUCAUCACAGCUAUGGCCCAUACUCGCUCCAGACCAUAAUUCAGGGUGUUUUCGAGACGAUAUGUUAAGCUGUGCCAGAUGCGAAGAGUGCCAUCUUCUGAGCCAGAUAUGAUAACGGGGAGUUCAGGAUGAAAGCAAACGGAAGACACAUUGUGAGCAUGCCCAUCAAGAGUCUGCACGCACGAUUUUGUCUGAAAAUCCCAAAUUUUUACGAGCUUGUCAUCAGCACCAGAAAUCAGGUACGGCCUGUCACCACCACCAAAAUACUCAACGCAGUUGACGCCCUUUUCAUGUCCCUCGAGAGUGAAGUUUGGGCUACUCUGACCAAUGGACCAGACUUUAAUCGUUCGAUCGAGUGAGGCCGAAGCAAACGUGUUAGUAUCCUUGGGGUUGAACACGACUUGCAUCACAUAGUGGGAGUGCCCUUCAAAAAUCUGAGUGCAGACCCAAUUGUUUUCCCAGUCCCAAAGUUUGAUAAGCAUGUCAUCUGAGCUUGUCAAGAGAUAGGGUAGGGUGGGGUGCACAGACACGCAUCGAAUGUAGUCAUUAUGUGCUUCGAAUGCCUUGACAAGUUCCGUGGUAUUGUAGUUGUAGACGCGCACAAACAUGUCAUCCGAUCCACAAACAAUCCACUGCUUGCGGGCGACCCAUUUAGCAGCACGAGUGGGUAGCUCUGUGACUUCAAAUGAUUUCACCAGAGAAUUUGUCUGGUGGUUCCAGAUGUAGAUGUUUCCGGUGUAAAGGUUCGCCAAUAUCCAUGGUUCUGUUGGAUGAAGUUCCACCCCCUUAACUCUGUCGGAACGCUGGACAAGCUUUCGCUUAAUAUCUAAGCGCAGCGGCAUAGCGGUUUCUCUGAAAAUGGUCGGUGGAGAAAUACGUGAGCUACGAAGAGGCAAAGAACGACCACUUCUUCGACAACGUUGCGACACAAUGCUGCUAGAGGACAAAGGGAAUAUACAAGGAACAUUUCGGAGCCCUCCAAAACGGCUCCAUUGUGGUGCAGCAGCAACGUCCCCCGAUGAUCAGGCAAAGAUCUAUGGAAUGUUCAGGAUAAUAGGGAUCUAUGGAUUACCUGCUGGGUGCGGUACGUCGCAGUCAGCCACGUGAAAUUGCAAAUGAUGGUCCGAUUUGCGUGUAUCCUCACAGAAGCUGACCCUGAAAACAAAAAGAGAGUUUGGAAAACCACUUCAGCACGGAUUUCAGGUCGAGUUCUCUAGGAAGGACCGUCGAAAAGGUGUUCGUAUGCUUUCAGUGCAAGGGCGUAGUGACAUAGUAACGAACGAGAAGAAGAAAACGCAAGUUCAAUCAAAGGUGCUGAGCUUGGAUGGUUUGAACGAGUAACUUGAAGGUCGAACCCUACGCACGACGGUCAACCCUACGCACGAUGUUCGUCACAGAAAAGCAGCGUGCGAGCUCUGGCAUGCUACCAGCGAACAGGUCCACUAACUUACUCUGGAUGAUGCCUCGCGUAAGAAUACGCGCAGGUAAAGUUAUGGAUACGCGUCACUUCAAAGUCGCACUGAAAACACUGAACACCUCGAUGAACCAGCGGUAAGCCUUCUGCAUUUAUUACCUUCGUUCGUACCUUCGAAUGAAGGUAUUUUAUAUAUUAUUACGAUAUACAGUACGUAUAUUAUUACGCUGAGACAAUCCAUAAUAUUAUUUAUUAUUAUAAUUAUUGGCCGAAUGAUGAAUAACGAAUAAUAAUAAAAAUAUACUAAAAAUAUCAUAUAUAUUAUCUCUUUUUCUAAUAUAUUACCUUCGUAUAAUAAUACCAACGUAAUAUAUUUCUCCUAAGGUCGAAUCAAUCGUCUGUGUGAUCGUCUGUGUGAUGAUCGUGUGGUGUGAGAAUUCAUCCUCUGGGUGGUCGGAAUAGCCCCGAGGUAUGUAUGUGUGUAUAUUUAUAAAUAUGUAAAUGUAAAUAUCAAACCCUAUUUAAAUACCUGUUUAUAUGAGUAAACAUUGUGUGACAACUAUAUGGGACACUGACUCAAGGUUCUCGAGCUAAAAAUCCAAAAAUGUCAACAAUGUAUGGAACGGAUAGACCAUCGUUCUUGAUUUAAUGGUGUCAAAAAUGUCAACAACUAUAAGGAACGCUAGACCAUCGUUCUUGAUUUAAUGGUGUCAAAAAUGUCAACAACGUAUGGAACAAAUAGACCUUCGACCUUGAAAAACGAUACCAGGUGAUUAUUGUUACAUUUUGGAAGUUAAAAGGUCGUGCUAUGCCGAAUAUUAAAUAUCGAAAUAUAAAUAAAUAAAGCCAAGACGCUAAGCUAUAUAUUUUAUUAUUUAAUAACAUCAUAUCAUAUAUAUAUAUCUUCUAUAUAUCAUAUUAUUAUCAUAAAAAGUUACGAAGUGAAAACGAAGGUAUAAAAAAUACCUUCAUUCGUACGAAGCAGGUAACACGAAGGUACGAAUGAAGCUAUAUUCGGCAUGUAUAGCCGAUCGAUUCUACUGGAAUCAAAUUACAAAAAUGUCGGGGAGGUACCGUUGAGAGACCUGGUAUCGUCAACCAGGAGUCACGGUUUAUUCGUUCCUUACAUUGUCCGGUGGUAUCCUUUACCAAGAACCUCGGGUCUAUUCGUUCCAUAUACAUUGUAUUAACUUUUCAUUUUCAAUUCGACAACGUUAUUAGUUAAAACCUUAUUAUUAGUUAACACGACUAUCUAUGUGAUUAUUGAUAUCUGUUACAGAUCUGUCACCUGUGUGUGUUCGUCUUUUAACUACAAUCAACCCUUAACUACAAUCAACCGCCGACGUAUGAGCAAACACACAUCAUCGCUAAACUAAUAAUGUUCACGGAUUAAAAAAAAGGUCAUGUUGCAUCGGUUCAGCAGCCUGAAUUUUUGUUAUUUACCUUCGAAGGUAUAUGAUGUAUGCAUAUGGUACGUUUCGUAACUUGCGAGUAUCGCGAAAUGGCGACAUUCUGCAGUUGGAAGGUUCUGCAGUUAAAUUUCCCAGUUAAAUUUCCCAUAACUUCAAGGAUGUUUCGAUUGAAUCAAGAGGGUCGCAUGGUACAGGGCGUUGGGCGGCGUACAUGCGCCGUGCUCAUGGCCGCUGAUGCACUGUAGGCACGGCGUGCAUCACUGAGAGGGCAUCGUGGAACUUAGAACGGUUGUUCUAUCGAUGACGAGGCGCUCGAUUGCGGGAGAAACCCUGUCUGGACUGCGAGUCCUCGCAGUCCCACUCAAGCCGCGGAUUAUAAAUUUGCACGUUUUAUAUCGUUUCACGUCAUCAGAAAUCAUUUUUGGGGGCUGCAGCUCGAUUCGAGCGAAUAUAUGCUACAACUGACCGUUUCUAAUCCAAAUUUGCACUUCAAAAAUCUCAAAUAAAAUCAGCUCUCGACGGAACAAAUUCUACAUUUUCUAAUUCGUUGAUACACACCCGGACAUCCCAAGUGGUCCACCCUCGGAAAAUGAGCGAUGUGGAAAUCGUGGGUUUUUUUUAAAUCAGAGGCUGGUUCGAUUUAAACCGCCAAUCGAACCAGCCUCUUAAUAAUAUACGAAGGUACGAAUAAUGAAGGUAAUUAAUUAUGUGGUUAAUAAUGUCGAGGGAUACUAAAAUUUUAAUUCCUGAUGAUCUGACUGAUAAUUAUCGUGCUCGGAGUUCUCCAUUGGGCCUGCUAAAGCCCCGCGCGAUACGUAUGACGGAGGCCCACAAACCUUCGCAGGGGCAAUAUUUUGGGAAUAAUGAUCGAACAUGGAACUAGAAUCAAGUUCUCACCGCUAUAUGGAGUUCAAGGUAUUGGUUUACCUCGGCCAAGAUUCCUCUUCCUACUACACUACCUCGACGUGCCGAUAGCGUACUCGUCUUAGGAUAGCCCUGUGAUCUCCACGUCUUAUUUAUUCAGGAUCGCGUCCCACCUUAACCGAUCACAGGCGAGGAUCCUUUCUGCUACGUCCUUGACUUGGACGGCUUUAAAAUCCUACUUGAUUGCGGGUGGAAUGAUAGUUUCGACGUGAACUUGCUAGAGCCUCUUGCAAAAGUUGCAGCGGAGGUAGAUGCCGUUCUCAUCUCCCAUCCCGACACUGAACAUUUGGGCGCGUUACCGUAUGCAUUUGGCAAGCUUGGCAUGCGUUGCAAGGUAUACGCAACGCUCCCUGUGCACAAAAUGGGACUUAUGUUCAUGUAUGAUCACUUUCUUUCGCGCAACGCGAAUGAAGAUUUCAGAGUCUUUACACUUGAUGACAUAGAUACUGCCUUCAGCGCUUUUGUACCAGUGCGAUACGCGCAACGAUCAGCUCUAGUCGGUCACGGGGCCGGCAUUACAAUCACCCCAUAUGCAGCUGGACACAUGCUGGGGGGUGCGCUUUGGAAGGUGCACAAAGAAACAGACGAUGUUGUUUACGCUGUUAACUUCAACCAUAGAAGGGAGAAACACUUGAAUGGAACCGUUCUAGAAUCAAUCAAACGACCGGCAGUGCUCAUUACUGAUGCAUCCAAUGCACGACGACUUCCUCCAUCCAAAACGCGAGAAAAUGACUUGAUUGAAGCCAUAUUGCGCACUGUGCGGCAAGAUGGUAACGUGCUCAUCCCAAUUGAUCCUGCCGGUCGUGUCCUGGAACUUUUACUGGUUUUAGAAGAAAGAUGGUCGCAAAAGCAACUUGCAGCCUACCAGCUCGUAUUGCUCACUAAAGUGGCGUACAAUACUCUUGAGUUCGCCCGUAGUCAUCUUGAGUGGAUGGGUGAGCAUGUUGGUCAAUAUUUUGACAGGGAGCGCCACAACGCCUUUAACACCCGUCACUUAAAACUAUGCCACUCUAUUGAUGAAUUCCGCGCGUUGCCUCAAGGACCCAAAGUUGUCCUCGCGUCAUUUGGUUCCCUCGAUGCUGGGGCAUCCCGACAUAUAUUCGUGGAGUGGGCCCCAGACCCUCGAAAUUUGAUAGUUUUCACCGAUAGAUUGCAACCAGGCUCACUUUCACGCGAGGUAUGCAGAUUAUCACAGCUGCCACCCGGUGCACGAUUACCUCUGAGGAUCUCUCUGUCGCAAAGAUUAAAACUCGUUGGUGACGAGUUACUUGAAUGGCAGGGGAAGGAAAUUUCAAGAUCGCAAGCAUUGGUCCCGAUUAAAAGUUCAACAAAGUAUAGGGUUUUGAGGGAACCCAAACCAGUGAUUGAAUCAUGUAAACCUAAUUUGGAUACUCAAUGUACAACAAUGCAUUCUCAAGCCUCGCAUCGCGGUGGUCGAUGCUACGUGCUUGAUGGCAUUAACCAAGUCAACAAUGCAAAUGUUGCGAUCUUUGACGAUGAAUCAUGGUAUCCAAAUGUGCUAGACUUUGGAGAGACAAUCACAUCUGAAACCUUUGAAGGGUAUGUCCAAAUCGGAUUGCAAAACGACCACCGCAGCGGCGAUCGCAUCGAAGAAAGACCUGGAGAAUUCGGUCAUACCUCAGAUCCUGGAAGGGUUUACCCCGAUACACAAUUUAUGGGACUCGAAGAUAGUCCGACAAAAAUAUUGACAGAAACGCAUGAUGUCUAUUUGCGGGCGGCUGUGCAUAUAUGCGACUUUGAAGGCAACUCUGACGGUCAUAGCAUCCAAACCAUUCUAACUCAUUUAGAGCCACGCCGAGUAAUACUUGUUCGUGGUAACCCAUCAGAUACCGACUUUCUGCGCAUGCAGCUUCAGAAGUCACUUUUGCGGGCAGAAAUCCAUGCGCCGAAACAAUCUCAGAUGGUUGAAUGUAUCUCAGAAAACACGACAUUUCGCCUUGAGCUGUCCCAGGACCUCUUGUCCCAUACCCAUAUGCGCGAUGUGGCGGGAUAUCAAGUUGGUUGGGUGGAGGGCAAUGUUUUGAUAUCCAGAGGAGGAGGUGACCCUGCAGCUACACUAGUCCCAGCCAAGUCGGGAAUGAUUUGCGAAGCACAGCGCACUGGACUGCAACCAAAUACCGGAGCAUCUCAAACUGCGACAAGGGAGACAAGAACACAAGACGCUCGCGUUGGUUUAGACUUCAGUCGUGAAAUAGAUGAGCAAUCGACAGCUUCAGAGCUUUUCCUAGAUGAACUUGUUGUGAAAAAACCUGCAGCACUUGUUGGAAGCCUCAAACUUAGUGACUCUAGGUUGGCGUUGGCGGCAGCAGGUUGCGCAACUGAAUUCCGUGGAGGCGCGCUGAUGUGCACAGGAGACAAAGUACGUGUUAGGAAAACGGUAAAUGUGAUGGGUGCAGAAAACCUUCUACUCGAAGGGAAUCUGUGUGAUACAUUUUUCAGUGUACGUUCGACGUUGUACCAUCACCACCAAGUAUAGGUGAGAAAAAUCAAAUCAACGGGUGAAGUCGUCAGACGGGCUCUUGAGGGACCAUGUAUGCAUGGCCACAAAUGCAGGUAGAAGGCGAUACACAUCUCCCGAGCCCGCCUGGCUAGGUGGAAAACCAGUAUGACGUCUGCCAACUUGAAAUUUAGAAAACACGAACGAAACUUUAUUAAUCGGCGGCCUUAGACUAUAUAUAGAUACUUUUAUAUAUUUUAAGGGUUACAUAUAUACUCGAAGCAAGGAUAUAUAUGUAUAUACCUUGAUAAUAAUAAUAUAACUAUUAUAUACCUCAUCAUAUAUAUGAAUUUAAAAAAACUCUCCAGGUAGGGGUCGAACGAACAGACAGAUAGACAGGGUCAUGGACGUGAUCUGUUGAGGGGGUCUGUCCCCAGGUGGGUCGGCAUAGCCUACGACCAACGUGAGCGCAGUGCUGAUGGCGCCGUUUACGCCGCGGAUGCAGACGUACGCGAGACGUGCGCCUCGAGCAGACUCUCGGACUGACGAACACACACAGGUGACAGGUGUGUACAAAUAUUAUUAGUCACGUAAAUAGUCGUCUUUAAGGGUAACUACAAAUAAACGUCGACAUAUGAGCAAACACACAUCAUCACUAAACCGACGUUGACGAAUUAAAACCCUUAUUACAAUAUUAAUGUUAUUAGGAACGAAUAGACCCGUGGUUCCUGGUUGACGAUAAAACCCUUACCAGGUUUUCGUGUGACAUUUUUGCAAGAUGUUUAUUAUUUCCCGUAUAUAUGUACCUUGUAGAUAAUACCUUCGUAUAUGUACGACACGCGAGUUAUUAUUAGCAAAAAUGUAAAUCGCGCAUAUAGACAGUCGGCUAAAAUAAGGGUUGUGCCGAAUAAUACAGCAGUAAGAAGAGUGUACGAAGGUAAUAAGCAAGCGGCUAACAAUAUAUUAACUAACGCUUGCAUAUCUAUAUUAUUACCUUCGUUCGAUUCUUUCGUACGAAUGAAGGUUUUCUAAUGGUAGUCUAUUCUACCUUCGAAGGUAUUAUUGAUAAAACCUCGCAACUUCGAGAAGCUCAAGCUCACAGGCAGGACGUAUCGCGCCAGGUAAACGUCAUUUGCGGGGGAUUCAAAGCCAAUCGUUCUCGCAAGCUCAGCAACACACAAUAUCCACAAUUGACUGACAAAGUGGCAAUGAGGAUCUUGAUCAAGGGUGGCGUGUGGAAAAACACGGAGGAUGAAAUUCUGAAGGCGGCAGUGAUGAAGUAUGGGAAGAAUCAGUGGGCCCGGAUCUCGUCCCUCCUCGUUCGCAAGUCAGCGAAACAAUGCAAGGCCCGUUGGUAUGAAUGGCUUGAUCCAUCGAUAAAGAAGACCGAGUGGACCCGACAGGAAGAUGAAAAGUUGCUCCACCUUGCAAAGUUGAUGCCCACCCAGUGGCGGACUGUAGCCCCAAUUGUGGGCCGCACUCCCGCUCAAUGUCUCGAGGUAAGGGUUCGCAAUAAAAAAAUAGAUUUUCACCUGCGCGUAUGCAUCCCAGUAAGUUUUAUUUUGCAUGUGAGCUAACUAACGAACCUUUCCAGAGAUAUGAAAAACUGCUAGAUGCGGCCUGUCAGCAAGACAGCAACGACGCGUUGGAUGAUCCUCGCCGUCUCAAGCCUGGUGAAAUCGAUCCAAACCCUGAAUCCAAACCUGCACGACCCGAUCCUGUAGAUAUGGAUGAGGAAGAAAAGGAAAUGCUCUCGGAGGCGCGCGCAAGACUUGCGAACACUAAAGGGAAGAAAGCAAAACGAAAAGCAAGAGAGAAGCAGCUAGAAGAGGCAAGGCGACUCGCAUCGCUGCAAAAGCGGCGCGAACUAAAGGCAGCUGGUAUAGAUACUGUCAAGCGGGCGAAACGGUUGAAGGGCAUCGACUACAAUGCCGAAAUUCCUUUUGAAAGAAAACCAGCUCCAGGUUUUUUCGACGGUAGUCUUGAGCGGCGGGCACUCACACUUUUGAGCGAGGAAACUUUUGAACCAAAGGGACUGGCUGACUUUGAGGGCGGUCGUCAACACGACAUUGAAGAAAACCUUAGAAAGCAAGACGUGAAACGGCAAAGGAUAGUUCAACGUCACGGUGUCCCACAUGUUAUGCAGACUGUCGACAACAAUGAUCCUGGGAAUCACCGGUUACACAGUGAGCUCAACCUUCCACCCCCUCGGGUCCGGGAAAGUGAGUUAGACCAUGCCAUCAGAGCUAACGGCGUCCUCGCACACCAUGAGCGUUCCUCUGCGCACACAGUAUAUCAAACGUUGCCAGAUGACAAACGAUUUGGGAAUCUUGCAAGAAUUGGUAUGCCGAGUGGCCCUGAUGGCAUUUCCGUCUCCAGCAGAUCUUCUCCUGCGCAGAGUAUUAUAGGUAACGAGCAUUUAUCCUCUCAGUUUAGUCAACAGAACGAUGAUGUAUGGGUUGGACAUGACGUAGUAACAGCUGCUGGUGCAGUGAAAUGUGCAAUGGCCUCUCUUCCUGUGCCCAACAAUGAGUAUCAGAUUGUUUUGCCGACACCAAAACCUGAACAAAAUAAUGCCGACCACUUACGUGAUUUCGAUCGUAUGAAUGCGAAUCUCAACUCAUCGUCUUCCCCAAUUGAACGCGCGACGCACUUGAAAUCGAAGCUAAGAUGUUUGGCGCGACCCUCUUCGUUUUGUAUAGACUCAAGAACCGACACUUUGAGAUGCAGCGCAGAACAAAUCAUCAGCAGAGAGCUGGGACAAAUGCUUGAGCAUCACUCAUUAGAGCAUGCAUUGCACGACACAGCUCGAUUGUUGACGUCCCCGAUUUCAUUGAAGCAGUUGGCAUUAUCUGCCGCCCUUAUUACCAGGGAAAUAAAUGCGCUCAGGUGUACAAGCGAUCAGCUAGUGAACAGUGAUGAAAUUAUCUACGCCUCCAACUAUGCGCACAACGACUGCAUCAUGGACAAAUCAACUUCACAUGUCAUUCUCAGCAAAAUAUAUGGAAGCUACGAUACUAAUACUACACCUCCCUCUGGUGAACACGCGCGCGCUUGUACGUCUAUGAUGCGCGACGCUCGGCGAGCAGGUAAAAUCGGGCAUAGAAUAGAAAUCGUCACUUCAGGCCUGCAACAGCGUUCGGCAGAGUUACACAGAAGACUAAGUCACAUCUACGCCGAACUGGUUUCAAUGGAUCAUCAGUACUGCUCUUAUAACACGUUACUCUACCGUGAGCAAGAAACCUAUGUUCAGCGGGUGCGGUCGCAGAAAAACAUGAUCACCCUCGCAUCAGAGAAAGAACGCCAACAUCAAUUUCUGCACACCCAGCGUGCAUCACUUUUAAGAACUUCGGAGCCGCAAGUUGAGAUCUGUGAAAAUAAACGCUAAAUAGAAUUUUCAGGAAGAAGCGUCAAUCUGAUGCGGAUGAUUCAAUUCAGUCGGGCAUGGAUAUAGUGAUCUAUCAGAGGCGUCGGUGGGUGCAACCUGAGAGUUCAGUUUCGUCAGUGCUUCGUCAUUAGUUUUGCAUGUGUUUCAUUGAAUCUUGCGCAGGAAUAGUGUUUAAAAGGUCUCCGAUCUGUUUAUAUUAAAACGCGUCGAGUGAUGCUACGUGGGCGACGGCGGACCUUGUUUUGACUGAGUAAAUAUUCUCGAUGCUGACAUGGAUAGAUGAUUCACCGACUCGCGCGUUUUUUCUUGAUGACUUUAUGACAGGAGUUUUCAAAAUCCAUCAGGGAAACCGCGUUGCGAUGGAAAUAGUCGUCACGUCAACCGGGCGCUGAUCAGAUUCCUUUCACAAUUACUAGUCAUUCAGUUCAACGAAGCAGAAAAACUCGAUAGUUUCGCGGUCGUAAUACAACACGAACCAUAAUUUCCGCACUCAUAAUGUGUUGAUUCUGAGAAAAUCAGAAACUGAUACCAUCAUUUUGUUGAUUUGAGUGCAGCCGCUCGAUUAUAUUUUUCCAGUACUUGCCCGUGCGUUCCUUUCGAUAUGGCAUCCUCACUGAGAAUAUCCCAAAUUGCAACUUGCCCCUUGGACCCAGCACAUCCAACCAGGUAAGGUACAGAAGAUGAAAAUGCAGCAGUAAAUAUGGCUCCAAUACCAGGGUUAUUCUGUGCCACCAACGAUGGCUGAUCGGCUGUAAUAUCCCACAGUUUCAACGUUUUGUCCAUUGACGACGUGACAAGAAGGUUUGAAACGCCUGGAGAGAGGCUGAGACAUGUUGAUGCUUUUUCAUGUGCAGAAAAGCUAAACACAGGUUCAGAAUUUUUGCCCAUCCUAGAAUCGAAUGAAAAAACUUCGCCACUCUCACUUGAUGCAAUAAGUUGUGUGGGCUCACUGUAUUUCCACAAAGCGCACUCCACGUCUGCACCGAUGCUCCAUACCAUCGCGGCUUUGCUUGAAUCUCGAACAUCGACUAAGGUGACGAGACCGUCGAAUCCACCGGUGAGCAAGACACUGGGCUGGAAACGAUUCCAUUCAACAGCUUGCACCUUGCCCGAAUGAUGUGAUAAAGUUUGCUGUGUCGCUUGCGUAAUGACGUCCCAAAUUCUUACCGUGCAAUCGGCUGAAGCAGAGGCUAGCACAUUCCGAUGUUGGGUGUUCCAGGACAAUCCAAGGACAGCAUCAGUGUGACUGUCCUUCCGAAGGUCAGGCAGUGGGCUCUUCGAGCCGCUUCUUCUUGUUGCUUUCAGAUUCUUGGAUGCUCGUUUCCCUACGUGUUUGAGAUUUCUGAUUUCUCGAUUUCCACCCUUAAUGCCCUCUUGCAUCAGCGCAUGCUCAUAACCGCCAAGUGUCGCUUUCGGCUCUAGAGCAUCAAUUACGUUGAGAUCCCAGAUUUCUAUACCUGGAUACAUGGUUCCCACGGCGACACUAUUUGAGUGGGACUCAUCUUGUCCAGGAAAAGGGCAGUCCAACCAUGUGAUACACAAUGGAAACGCUGGUAACAGUAGAUCAUGAUGACAGAAUAAGUUACCCUCAUCAGUUCCGCUCAAUACGGGCUCCUCAUACACAUACAUUUCAAGGUGACUGACAUCGUCAUCUGUGCGGGCUGCUAAGAGGAUGAGAUCAGUCGCUCGCAGCUUGAAGUCAUCCGGAAAGUCCUCUACAUCUCUGUCGUUCUCAUCUUUAACUGUCAUGUACGCGUCUUCAUCGUUGUGUGCAUGGAACAUUGAACUUUCUCCUCCAAAAAUUCGCGCGGCUUUUACAGCUUCAUCAUUUUCGUCGUCAUCGUCAUAUCUAUCCAUAUCAAGCUUGGCCAUCGCCGUGUCGAGACUAUCGCCGCCUUCGCAAGUUUCCGAGGCAUCCACUUGAAAUUGUGCGUGAGAUAUCCGCGUGGCACGAGACGCUUGGUUGUCGUCAGCCAUCUCGUCUUCUGUCGUGUUUGCUGAGCUUACUUCUUCCCACUCUCCUGAUGCGCUGUCCCCUGCAACCUGGCGGAUCUGUACAAAACCCCCUUCUGCUGCGAUCCCCGGGCAUAUCUCAACGAGGUCUUCAACGGUUGCAGGGCCUCGCACAUGUUUAGGGUCUUCGGCCGCAACACCUAGUGGUAGCCAUGCUAUGGCAGAAAUCAUGUCCAAUCUCCACGGAGCGGUUGAAUGUAGUGAACCUCUUGGCUAAGUACAAGUUUCUGGCACGGGCGGCGGACGGGUUUCCCUGGUCGUUCCCGAUUCUUUUCCCACGGUAUCACUCUUUGCAAAACUGAUGUCCGAACCCAACCCGAAAAUUUCAGCAAUUUUUGGCGGAAAUUUACUGCCUAUGGUUUUUUAGUUACCCAAGGUAAAUACACGUACAUGGAUUUCUGACUGGAUUUCAUACGUCAACGUCACGCGAGUUACUCAUGUAAAUCGCGUAUAUAGGUCCGCUGAAAUUUAAUUUCCGUGCGAUGGUCUGACUGUUUGCUCAGUGAAAAAGUCCGAAAAAGUCCGGCGGAUAUCCGCCUUUCAAAAUCUCCGGUAAAAAUUUCGGGCUGGGUUCGGACAUAUCAUCAAGUUAUCUCAUCAUCAUCAGUAUGGAUAGUGUGCGAAGAGUAGUGAUGAGGUUUAUUUAUAUUCCAUCUGGGUCAAUAUCUCGGCGGAAAUCUUUCCUGGUUCUGUCAGUCCCACGCGAUCGUUUUAGUCAACCGCACAUGGGCAGGGACCUUUCGGAUAUUAGAUAUUAGCCGGUUUUCCCACCGUGGGACGGCGUGCUCUAGCCCACAGGGCCGGACACAUUGCGUGGGUUACACUACGCAAAAAACCAAGGCCAGGGUGGAAGAGAAGGCGAAGGGAACGCCGAACGUCCCGAGCGGACGACGGAAGUCGCCCGCGAAGGCUGUCCUGGUUUUGCGAAGAGUGAUGUAAAAAAUCGGACAGUUGCAUUUUUUCUCGCUCGCGCUACGCCAAUUGUGUUUAAAUGUGCGCUUUCGGGCGCGAAACGUGUUGGAUAUUACCACUGGAAAGCGCGGAUAUCGCUCGGUCCGUGGCGCCCGGAAGGACAAACGACCAUAUUCGGGUGAUGCAUGGAACCAGUAGACGAAUCACCGGCAACGAGAUGGGAUAGUUCGACCGCUGGCCCGUGCUGUGCGUUCAUUCAACGUCUGGUCAGUUUCCAUACACAGGUCUCCGUACAUGCCGUGCGCUCAUCUAGACACUCGUGUUAUAGAUACAACAGCCAGGACUAAACCUCGAGGAUUGGAUUUAGACUCAUGGAUAUGCCCGACGUUUGACUACUCAACUUUCCGACUCGAACACGGCCCUGAAUAAAAUGAUGGCGAGGCUGCGUGUAAGCAUUAUCUCUCCUCACAAGUAUCAUAUCAUGACCAGCGCAAGGCUGAUCCAAGGGAUGCUUCUCAGAGCCAGUUGAUUGAUAUCGAGCUCGCCCAAAAGGUUCAAACUGGCAUCCCCAAACCAGCGACUUGUGUAUUAAGCUCAUCGACCAUCUCCCCUGUUAAUUUUGUCGCAAGCGUCGAUCCAGUCGCUAUAAACAUCGAUCGGCUCGCUUAAGUGCGAGAUGAUGGUAGUGUAACGCUGCCCGCAUAUUGUGCACUCUACCAUGCCCUUCCCUGUGAGCUGGUCCAUCUUAGCGACCACCGCAUUUUCAUGGUUGCAGAAAGGACAAGUAAACGCGGUGGCCACUUUUGGAGCAACCUUUUUUGGUGGCGGUUUACUGGACUUCCGCUUUCCCUGGGAGAAGGGGAGAUGAAUUAGCGUUCAUUCAAGUCAGCAUUUUCGGUAGUGCUCAAAGCUUGGUUCUACACAUCUGAUGUGGAGAAUGAGGUCGUCCACAUUAUCGCGAAGGGCGUAGAUGAACUAACCAUGUAUGUGCGCGUGCGGAUCACGAAUGCAGUUCCCCACGACGUUGUCCAGGAUUCGAAGGUACCAAGGUAAUUAAGAAAUACACUAGAAAUACGAAGAUAAAUAAUACCUUCGUAUCCAUAUCUUCGUACAAAAAUAUAUAAAAAUAUAUGAUACCUUCAUAUUAAUAUAAUAAAUAAUAGAAGGUUUUUAAUUAAUACGAAGGUACCGAAGGUAAUAAAAUAAUAGACAAUUCUCCACAUGCAUCGUUGACUUUUGGUCGGCAGGGAGCGAGGUUUUACCAGUUAAGUCCAAAAGUUAACGGAGGUGGUUAAUUUCCUGGUUUAUUCCGUCAAUCAUCAUUAUUUUAAUCCCUCAAAUUAAUACGGGCGUCCUUGGUUAAAUUAUUUUACCCCGCUCUUGACCGUCGUGGAGAAAACGGCAAAAAGAGCCUCGAUGCGUUAAUGUUAGAUCUCCUUCUGCCCUCGCGAACUCAUCGCGACCAUGACAGAUUUGAACGCGAAUGCGCUAGAGCAAGACGCAGACGACGGCGAUGGUUCCCAUGCAUACCGUGCGGCGCAGGAAUUGCUGAAUCAUUUUUGGUGAUUCGCGUCAUCAGUCUAUGCACGGCAGUGCUUUGGAUGGCAGGUGGUUGACACCCGGGAGGGCGCGGAUCUCGGCGACACUACGGCCCGCGUCCAUACCGGCCUUCGCCAACAUCGAGACACGAACGUCGUGCGCAACCCCGCGCCACUGAGCGACCCGGUCAUUUUGAUUCCCGACCCAGCGAUCCGGUCGCCUCGUCGGCUUCCUUUCUCGGCCAUUGUUCGGCCGCCUAUGCAUCGGCUACAUAUUUUAUUUGGAGCCAGGGUGCAUAAUAUAUUUCGUUACGAGAUAUAUGGAUAUAUAAUACGAAGGGACGAAGGUAUAUGGACGAAAUAGACCAGGAAAUUAAACCUCCGACUUAACUUAACUUUUGGACUUGACUUAUUAAAACAUUAUCAUAGACUAUAUAGCAUAGAUUGACUUGAUUGAUUGUUGAUUGGUUUGUCUUAUUAUUUAAUAUUCCGAAGUAAGGUAUUUAAAUGGUAUUUAUACUGUAUGUAUUUAUUAGAUUGACUUGCAUUGAUUGGUUUGUCAUAUUAAUAUGCGUUGAUACAUACGAAAUAAACAUGCGAUGAAGGUACAUGCGAAUUAUCUGUAGUCUAUUUAAAAAGAAAGGACGAAAUGGACGAACGAAUAUAGUAGUAAAAUACUGUAAUAUAAAUAUUGUAUAAAUAAUAGCUUAAAUAAUGAAACUAUAUGGAUACCGUUAAUUAGUUAAUUAUUCCAAUAUUCCAUAUAUCUUCGUUCGUAAUAUUAUUACAUAUCUUCAUAAAUAAAUACACAUUAUUAUUUAUUAUUAUGAUAUAUUCAUAUAUAUUAUCAUCAUUAUUAUUAUAUUUUUCUAAUAUAUCAUAUCACACGUUAAUAGUAUUAUUAUCAUAUUAUUAUUAUACUAUUAUUUUAUAUCAUAUUAUUAUUAUUAAUGUUUGCCCUUAAUAAUAAAAAGUUAUUUUAUCAUAUAAUAACCUUCCAGCAGGUCGUUCGUUCGUAAGGGUUACGUACCUUCGUACAUACCUUCAUUCGUUCGUUCGUACGUAUACUUGUAUUAGAUACGGGUUUUUAGUUUUACGAGUACAGGUAAUUUUUAUCUGUACUUGUAUUAACCCACAGAAACUUCGGACGCCUCGCCACGAACAAAGUGGGUGGUUCGGCCUUCGCACAUAGCUUCUAGUACGCUAAGAAUAUUUUACGGAUUGCGCGUUGCCAAUCAUGCCGAGUUGCCGUCCAUAUUAAGGCAGCAGUGUACUUGUGGCACGGUCAAGUCAGCUCAAUGACACGGCAAACAUCGUUUGUACUCUGCUCAUUCGCUGCUUUCUUGGGUCAGGUAGUGCUGGGAGACACCGAAUCGAUACAUUCCAAGGUCGACGUGUCUCGCGCUCACUUGGACUCGACGAGCGAGCUUUCGCGUGUCCGGUUGCAAAACGUAGAGCACGAAGGUGCGAGCUGCGAAAGUCAUUAUUUUUGUAUCGCACACCUCGACAAAGUUUUCACUCGCAUGCCAACUGCAACACUUGAUGAUAAGUGGGAUAUAGGAGAUUCGCAAGCUUGGCUCGAAAGCAAUCAGCAGGGCAGUGAAAUAUGGAGCGGGCAGGAUCGGAUCAUGAAAGCCUGGGGCGUUUUUCAUUUGUACGACAUGAAUCGGGGCAUGAAGAUCCUUUUCGAUGCCCGAGAUGAACGUGCAGUUUUGUCAUACUGGUGCUCGAUAUCAAAGUGCGUCUGGAACAUCCUAGCAAUUGAUGGAAAACUUCGUCAUGGCGAGCCUCACGUGUGCGCAAAAUUGAGAGCCUUUACUUUGGAGCGGCUGUUGUUGCAAGUAAGCACCAGAGCUUUGGAACCUGAGUUGCGCACUGGUCCGGCGACGGGGACAGGAGGUAUUGCGAUUGUCACUGCGAGUACUCCCAAUCUCGUCAACUCGUCCGCCAUCUCAGCAGAUUUGAACAUAAAAUAUGCUGAAAGGCACGGUUAUGCAUUCUAUCAAUAUCGCGACACCAUGGUUCCCAAACAUAUCAUCACAUGGAACAAAGUCCGCGUUGUGAUGGAUAUGUUGACUGCAACGAGACAUGAGUGGAUAAUGUGGAUCGACGCAGAUGCUGUCGUGACAAAUCGAAAUUUCUCGAUUGAAGGUAUCAUCAAGGCCACUGAGAGCUCAAAAAUUGAAAAGCAGAGUGAAGAUGACAGCAUUGAUCUCAUUGUUUGCAACGAUAUUGGUGGAUGGCCUAUCAACACGGGUGUUAUGCUAUGGCGCAACUCAGAUUGGGCAAGAAAACUCCUGAAUAAGCUAUGGGCAACUGAACAUAUUCCGCACAUGCGCGGCGCUGAGCAAGCCCAGCUCAUUAAGCUUCUGCGACACGAGGAUCCUUUACGAAAACGACACGUGAUCCUUGACCAGACUGCAUUCAACGCCCACCCCAGCGUUCAUCGUGACGAAUUUUUCAUCAUACACAUGAUGGGAUUUUCCGAAGCAGAGAGGGCAGAGAAAUUUAAGCAUUACCAACUGAAACUGGAUCGUCCUAUGACAUGAUGAUCUGCAUCGAAUGGUUUGUUUAUUUCUUGACAUCAGCAGAAACACCCCAUGUUUUUAUUCUUCCAUCAGGGAUCGCGAACAGUACCAUGGGAGAGUCGCUGCGCACAAACACUUCGUCGACGAUAAAAUACCCUCUUCUUUCGAGUUGAAUGACGGUUCCUUUCUGCAAAGUUCGCAUGUUUGCAUCGCCAUGGGCGCGAGUUUCAAUCUUCGUCGUUGCGUUUACAAUAUCUGCCAGGUUGUCGGCAUCUUCGACUUUUUUCUUGGUGAUCAAGUAGUCAAAAUCGAAUAAACUUAAUGGCACCAGGUUGCCAAUGUCAGGAAGCCAAGUGAGCUUGAGCCUUGUUGACUUUACUGAACCAUCGAGGUUAAGAUGUGCCUGGAUUGAGACAAUAUCUUGCCCUGCGGAAUCUUUAAUGAUCCUAUCAAUCACACAAUUUCCCCAAUCCAUUAGCGUGACUUCUUCGCCCUCUCGGACUGACAUUGCAUCUUCCGCAUCAAGCCAGAUUCGAGACGUCCGCGUUGUAGCCUUGACACCAGCUGGGGGGUACUUCUUGUGUUUUGCCACAGAAACAACCUCUGGAUGCGACGGGCCAUUAGUGAUAUUGACCGGAACUUUACCCCUAUCUGAGACCGCAACAUGUCGUGGACACACAGGAUCGAUGAUGCGCUUAUUCAGCGUCCAAAGCUUUUCCCAUUCCAUCAAGUUAACGUUACGGCUAGCUCCUUGCAUCAAAAUGAACUCUUUCAAAGCCUCCGUCUGCAAACCGCGACGCGUCAUGCCCUGAACUGUUGGAAACCUGGGAUCAUCCCAGCCAUCUGCGUAUCCUUCAUCAACAAACCACUGCAGCUUUCGCUUAGAAAGCGUCGUAUACACGAAGUUCAGACGAGAAUAGUCCCAGAUGUGCACCUGGCGCGUGCCCAUGAGUUUCUGAACCCAACGGUACUGUGCUUCACGAUCUCGGUACUCAGAUGUCCGCAACGCAUGUGUAACACCCAUGAAGUAGGGUGACGAAAACAGCGCUCAGUCGGUUUACUUUCCACAAAAAUCGUAGAGGGCGAUGCAUGUGAAAUAUGGGAGCUCCUUACCUCAAGUGCAUCUACGAACGGGCAAGCGCAAUCAUAGGUAGGAUACACUUUGUAUUUCGUGCCAGUGCGGUGAUGUGGGAUAAGAUUGCACCUGAAGGCCACCGGGUCCCUUAGUGCUCCAUUGUCAUUUUGCAUGUCCAUACGAAAGCGUGCCGCGCACAGAAGACCCUUUUCGUCGCCAUCUAUCAUGUGCUUCCAGAGGUUGAGGUUAGUUUCAAUAGAAUUCGUGCGAGCAGCAGAUUCAAUUCUAUGAACGCGCUCUUCUCUCAUUUUGUCCAUGGGCGUAUCAUCGAUGUACAUUUUUCCCUCUUUUAUCAGCCUCGUUCCCAUAUCCAAUAUCUGCUCGAAAGAAUCGGAAGUAUAAGUGACCAUAUCGGGCUUAAGGCCAAGUAUCUCACAAUCACGCAAUAUGUUGUCUACAAACUCGUCCUUCUCCUUGGAGGGAUUGGUGUCAUCAAAUCGAAUGAUGAGCUUUCCAUUGUAGUGACGAGCAAAGUACUGGUUGAGUAACGCAGCUUUGGCAUGACCUAUGUGUAAAUAACCGGAAGGCUCUGGAGGAAAACGAGUAACGACGUUGCCGUUUGAAGCACCCUCAAGGUCUAUGUCAAAGGAGCCCCCAACUUGCUUUCCUUUCUGUUUGUCCUGAGUUGCCGCGUUGCUUUUGGCGUGCGAACAAGGCCGUUUGCCUUUAACAGUUACUUCGGUGACGAUAUCAACAAAUCUGGGAUCGCGUUGGAAAAGUUCAUCCCAUCGUUUCAGAUGGUAAAGUGGCGGAGAAUCCUUGACAGCGUCCCACUGGCGUGAAGCGAAGAGUCGUUCCCAUAGAGCAAGAUCUGCGAUUGUCAAACCUGGACCGACAAAGUAGGAGCGCGUAGCCAUAAAGGAAGAGAGCAUUUCGCAGAUUACGUUGAAGCUCGCUCCAUUUACAAGAGCGUCGGACUGGUCUAGCCACUGAUCGAUCUGUGCAGCGAGUGGACAACGUUCGUAAGAUCAAGAAUGCCGCUGAUGCCGGAAAAAGUUUCGGGUACAAAAGCUGUUUUCGAAGAACGCGCAGUGAAGGCGGCACAUCUUUCGGAGCAGGGAUCCGCGAAGAAAACGGGUCGCACCAACACCGGGGCAAAUGCAUCCGCGCCGUACAAAUUUGCACUCUUAGACGAGCGUCGGGCUAUAAAUCGCAAGAUCGAGUGCACGCCGAACAACUUCGUUCCGUCGUCGAAAGUGAGGGUGGCAGUGGCGGGGCUCCGUUGCUCUGUCCAAGGUACGCGUUUCAAGGGUACACCGCCGAUGCGCGAUGCAAUAAGCACGGCGACUGGAGGUGCGGCAUUCCAAUAUGAUAGCACGGGUGGAUUCAUGACGAGGUUAUGUGCCUCGAGCUCGAAAAGCGCGGCGGCUAGUGUCGGCGUGAGAAAACGAAGGUGCGAGGCCGAUAUCGCGAGUCAAAUAAUUUUCACUUCGAUUAUGGAUACUUGUACGUAUGUAGCUAUCUAGCUAGACAAUGGAUUUCCAUCUGGUUGAGCCACCCUAAAUAAUACCUUCGUAUCUAUACCUUCGUUCGUAAGCAAUAACUUCUAAUAAUAAGUUACGAAGAUAUAUUCUGGAUUUCAGGCAGCUGUGGACACCCCGGAGAUACGACUUCUACUACAACUACUACUACCGUAUGGGAGGAUUAACUCAAGAAUGACGAGUUAUCUGAAAAUUUUCGUUUUGAUCGAUUUUCACUUUCAAAACGCUAUUUUUCCCUUCAACCGCGCGGCGCCGUACGGCAUGACGAGCGCGGUUCCGAGGGAGCAAAGCCGGACGAGCGCGGUUCCGAGGGAGCAAAGCCGAACGAGCGCGAGGAGCGCGGAGCGUCCCCUCGCUCUCGACCCUCGCCCGCACUCCUCCGCUGCCGCGCGAGCGAGUCUGAGGUUUCUGGUGCGCUCCGCGAUGGAGCGAAGGACCUCGCGAGGCGAAAUUUCCUUUCAACUCCUUUUCAAACGCUACCCGAUCAAAAAUUUCGGGAGCAACCGGGCGGACAAAUCUGAAAAUUUUCCCCUUCGGGGUGUUCACAGCUGCAUCCAGAAUAUCGAUUUGGGUUAACGAUAGAUGAUAGGUCUCGGAUUAAAUAGGUCUAUCUGAUGAGUUAACGUUGGAAAGUAAAUUUGAUGACUAUUUAGGGCAAACAGUAUGUCAAGGUAUUUGUCCAUACGGUUUGGGUUUGCAUGGGCUUUUAGUUCCGAUCGAGCAUCCGUACGAAUUCUCAACCAUGUGGUUUAGUCAUAUUAUGAUACUGUAUGUUUAAUUGAUAUCGUAUGAUCCGUGCAAGGUGCCUCCCUAGCGAAUGUUCUCGGUACCUUCAAACCAGUCGCCAACUCUACGUGUAAUCAUUAUUGCGCUUGAAAAUGGAAUACGACGAUGAACAUUCAUGUUCAAAUUUGAAUAUGGAUACGAAACUGAUAGUCCCUGCUGAUACAUAUGACAGCGAUACGACGAUAAAUAAUUUUACGGACCCAAUAAAAUGACGAAUGAUGGACAUAAUCGAAAACCAGCACGGGACCGAACUCACUCGCUUGGGCGAGUUCUGCGGAAUCAGGCGCAAAGUCAAGAUUGGGAACCUAACGCACCCGUGAGCAGAGAUUCACGAAACAAUCAUCUCUGCUCCUACCCCCGACGUUUCUUCAUGAGCGGAGGAGCGACACAGGUGCGGCGUGUAAAAAUACACUCUCACCUGACUGUUCCGAUGAAACAAACCUUUUUUGUUCAACGUUAGUUCCCCUUCCCCAAAAAUUUUAAGUUGACCGGAAUUGAACUCGAUCCAGGUUCCCGACUAUAGUCGAAAACAUGCCAUUGAAGGCGAGCGUCAUGUAUCUCCAAAACAUGAUAUUGACGUGCCGGGAGAACACCGUGUUAUGGAAGGCGAUUUCCCUGAGACUUUGUUGCCUGCAAGUCGUCUGCAAGACAGAUACUUUCACGGAGCCUCCAACUUCGACGUAAGCCACGAAGCACCUUGGAGAGGUAAACACAAACCUCCGAUAAAUUUUGGCCAUCCGCGUGGCUAUUCUGAAGAUCCUAUCAGGGAGCAUUGCCCGAGUAAUUUUGGGAAAGGCGGUGUCCGUCACUAUCGCAGGCGACUGGCAGGCCCAAUUUCCACGUCUCUAGAGACAAAGCUUUCAUAUUCUGCUGGGGGUCUAUGCCCAGAUAAGGGGCCUAUCUUCUACGGGCAUCGAAACACUAUCGGGACGAAAAGUCCCGGAAAGCCGAAUCAACGGCGUAUACCAAAUUUGAUUCAGCGCCAAAAAGACAACUUCGUUGGUAUGUCUCUCCCACCGCCGGACCCUUUGCCGAAGCCGCCGCCCUGUGCUCCCCCUCCGUAUGCCCGUGACAGUGAUAAGGCACAAAAGCCAAUGCAAUGGAGAAUAAACGCGACGAAUGCUAGCCACCUCUUCCGCGAUGAGACAGAGUAUUCAGAUGAUAUCAAGCAACAGCAACCGAUUCGGGGCCAGCGAGUUGGAAAGUUUUCACCAGCGUAUGAGGCGGGGAAGAGGGAGCUGCCGAGUUGGGGAUGGAACCCCAAAAAAGGGAAAAACGACACUUCUGUACCUGAUGUUUUGGGCACGCACGAUUUCCACAACGCCGGUAAAGGUCGCAAGGGUCGGGCUAACAGCGAUCUUCCCGAAGGUGAAUAUGCUGGGGCAACAACAAAAACCAUUGCAGGCAAAGAACCCUGUAAGAGGAUGGUUAAGCCAGAGUGGGACCCAAGUCGUCAUAAUACCUUCGAAACUGUCGGCGUCACCCCCAAACAUCUGGGACUGAUUGCAGAGUCCCCCAAAAAGCCUAGCAUCGCACUCCCAGCACAUCCUGCAGGGGCGCUACAUGAUCCAAAAAUGCAGAUAAAUAGGAAAAAGAAAUGCAUGGUGAGCCCGCAUAAUACCUUCAACACAGUUGGUGUAACACCUCAAAUGAUGGGUGUACCAGUGGAUCUUCAAGCUGGGGGGCUAAAGCCGCCAAAACACCACGCCCCGCAUUCCGAAUUUCUCGCAGGCGCACCCACCAGUGUUUUAAAUGCUCGACGAAUCGGCAAGGGGGAAGGUGAGUACAGUCAGAGAGCCAGACAAAUGAACUCUUUCGACUCUGUCGGAGCAACCAUGGUAUUAGUAGAUGAAAAAGGCAAACCCUUGGGCGAGCCGAUACGACGCAAAGAAACGCUCCGGCCUACAUUGUACUGAUUCUACGAAGGGACAUGAAAUGGUUCUCCGGGUCAUGUUGCUCACUGCCUUGAGUGAUACCUUCGAAGGUACAAAAGAGGUGUCCAUGGCAUGGACUGACUGAGGCUCUCACGUACAUGUUAUCACCUGCUGCCAAAAUCGACACGUCAUUCCAAUACAGAUGGAUCCGAUCACAUAUAGGGCACAGGUCCUGUCAGAUAUUUUUGAACGACCAAAAAAUUAUGCAGUAUUUGCGGUCUUCGAGAAAAUUAAUGCAUGUUUGUGUCACGUGUUUUCGUCCGAAGAGAUUAUAUUGAGGAGGCGAUGGACUCUCCUCGAGCACUCCUGCUGCUCCAGGAAACACACUGCACAUCACAUCUACCAUCUACAGUUUCACAUCGACCCAAGUGUUCCUCGGCCUCCUCGUCAUCGUCGUCGCGCGCUCACGCGGUGGCUCGUGAGAGUCCAUCACCACAGCCGCACGCAACUCAGCGCGAGAAGGCAGUUUCAGGGAGGUGUGCAUCUUCCACGCAACUCCAAGACAGCCAGUGUGGUGUGCGGCUCACUUCACCCGACUUAAUUUUCGCAGAAAUAACUUAUAUAUAUCACAAACAGCAGUACCUAGUAUUCUGGAUUUCAUCAGGCAGCUGUGGAAAAUUUUCAGAUUUCUCCGCCCGGUUGAAAAUUUUCAGAUAAACUCGUCAUUCUUGAGUUAAUCCUCCCAUACGGUAGUAGUAGUAGUAUCUCCGGGUGUCCACAGCUGCCUGAAAUCCAGAAUACCUUCGUAAUAAGCUAGGACCUGGUAUGACGAUCUUGGUUAUUUUUAGGUGUGUACCUUUUUUUUGUUGCCCCGGGCGGGGAACUGGCUGAGGGAAUGGCCGACGAGCCGCUUCGCGGCUGUUUAAACUCUAAACCCUGAAAAGCCGACCUCAACCCCCUAAAGGCACGGCGCGGACCCUAAAGAUACAGUGCACCGCUUGUUACUCGCGCGUCAGCGGCUACAUGAGAGCGCAUCUUGCUCAUGCAAACAACCGCUCUUGUCAGCGCUUGGCACGCUUCAGGAUAUGUACGGGAGGAAUCAACUCAAGGAUUACGAGUCCCGCCCCCGGGCAAAAAAAAUCGAAAUGCGGCGUAAAGAUUUUUGCGAUAUACGAAGGUAUUUAUAUGGAAACCAUUUCUCCCUAUAUCGUUGACUUUCGGUCGGCAGAUGAGUUACCAUACGAUCACCGGUCGGUUGCAAAUGUCGACACGAUCUACGCGCCAAACAUUUUGGGUCGCGCGUGUUUUUUUUCCCUAUGGCGCCUAGUCAGGCCCAGUCAGGACGGCGAGCGCGGUGAGCGGCUCACUAAUACGCUGUUCGGCGCCAAAAACCGUGCUGACUGGACCGGUACCAAUCGAGAAUGUUGGUUCGGCGCUAAGUGUUACAUAAUGUCUCAAGCACCAUCCACGCAAGAGCCGCGAAAGCUAGAUGGGAAACGCAAGGCGCUCACGCCACAAACCCAAGCUUGCACCUAAGCCCCUUCUCCGAGAUGUAAUGGUAAGUGCUUCUCAGUUGUUUACCCCCUUGUUCGAAGGGAAACGUCACUUGCAUCCCGAUUUUGUGUCGUCCCUUUGUCAAGAAAUCGUUGAAGAGGGCCAGGAAGGUCACGACCGCAUUUCACAACAUCCACCGCCAGCUGGAGAACAUAUCCGCGCAUGGGAGCAAGGUGCACAAACAUCUUAGCUUUGUCAAGCAAACCGACGGAGUUCACCUUCGCCGCGAGCUCGACGGUUUAGGUGGAAGGCAGGCCUACCAGGAGGCCUCGGUGCUGACCACCACUCGGCACCGCACGUGCAAGUGGGUUUUCGCUAUGAUCACAAGGCUCGGGCUAAGGCCGGGCAAGCAAUCCCCCCCCCUCAGGCUUCUUGAGGUCGGAGCUGUUAAUACUCAGCUCAUGUCUGUCCCUUGGCUCGCGGUCAGGGCAAUUGAUAUCCAGGAAAGUCGUCUGGGUCGAUGGUCCUUCCCGCCUUCCAAACACUGUUCACUCUUUUCGAUGUUGUAGGCUCAGCACCCAAAAAUAGAUCAGGUAGACUUCUUCGAUCUUGAACCAGCCUCGACCUACGAUGUCGUGGUCCUAUCCAUGGUACACCUGCUGAUGACCGAACGUACAUUUUCCUUCGCCAAGAAACUUGAUUUCCUACGGUCAUGCUCUCCAUAGGUCCUGAACUGCGUUCCCUCGCCGUUUAAGCGCGGACGCAUGCUUGCGCUGGCUAAGCGGCAUCUAAAACUUGGUGGUCAUUUCUUCUUGAUGGCGAGGCCGCAAGUGUUUUAAUCAUUCAUCCCAUUUGAUGUUGUCACCUUGAUUUUCAUCGUCUUUCCAGAUUCCUAGACGAUGCCUGGAGAACUCGCCGUUCUGCACAUCAAACUUCCUUGAACAACUGUUGUUUGCGUUGGGACUAAAGGUAUGGAAACUUCCAUCUCAGUGUAAAGCAACCCUCAAUUUGUUUGAGUAUCUUUCGAACGCGACUGCGUGCUGAUACUUUUAUCGAUCAGGUUUUAAAGUUAAAGCGCUCUCCAAAAGUUGUGUUUGUGUGUGCUAAGCGAGUUCUUCCAACACCUGCAACGAGACGAGAACAUUCUCAGAACGAGGGGGCAUCAUACUGCUUUACAACACCACCCCGUGCGCUCGCAGAGGUCGCAGGCCUUCACAGCUCACAGUUGUCAGACGACUUUGCUGUAUGUUGCGAAGAGGAAGACUUUGCUUAAAAUCGUAAACCGCUCAACAUGUCAUGCCCUUCCACACUCUCCAGUGUGUGAGCUUCUUGUCUACUGGUUUUGUGGAUGCAAGAGCUUGAGGUUUGUUUUCAACUCAGCUGAUGAUGUCGUUCGUGAAAGUGUAUUGUGGAUGGGCAAAUUCAUUAUUUGACGCCUUCAAGGUGUCAGGCAGGAACAUCUAAAAAACGGUGUUUGACUGGUGCCGAAAAUGACAAGAGUUCACGAAAAAUGAAGUGAUAACAAGUGGGACGAUCAAACAAGCCCUCAAAUAAAUCAAAAGUCGAGCCUACAGUGCACACAUGAAAGCUCGUUACCAGCGUGCUCUCCUGCAAUGCAUUUUUUAUUCACAGUUUAACGAUACUUUCAUCCGCGACAGCUCUCAAACAAGGGACCGAUGACUUUAUCUUUCCAGCUUUCUGAUCGAGCAUCACCUGUGUAUGACUCACCAAACACGAGCUGAUCAGCUUUGCAUCUUUGAAAGGCAGUCCGUGCAGCUAGCGCGAUAUUACCAUUCGUUCAAUAAUAUAAAAUCGGCAUCGGUGAGGUGUAGGAUUUUGUCACCGGGUGUGUGCCGAAGCCCUAUCUCUGUUAUGAUAUCAGCGCCGCGCGUACGAAGACUCGCGUCAAGUGGAACAUAUGGCAGGCGGAAAACAGGUUCAGCACAAUCGAGCAUGGCCAGCAUCGUGUUCAAUCCGAUAGGAUUUGGUUCCGCGAAAAGCCAUUUCAUUAGGGGGAGCAACUUGUCCCGUAAUUCAGGAUUUGGGCCGCUGGUGAUAAGCUCAGCCAUCAAGCCAGGGACAAUAUUACUCGUAACCGAUAUAACGCCUACAGCACCAGCCUCGUAUCGUGCGUCAUGCGCCUCGUCAUCAUUACCGGUCCAGCAAACGAUGCCUUCAUCGGAGUAACCCUUGAUUCGCUCGUUACCUUCGCACUCCUUCACGCCCGCAAAAUUUUCAUGUUCAGCUAAUUCUAGCAUGAUGUCUGGUGUGAUGUCCUGUGACGUACGAGCAGGUACGUUGUAAACAAUCGUGGGGCCAAAAUCAAAGACAGCAUUAAAGUGCGCGAGAACUCCUGUCUUUGAGGUUUUCCCAUAGUAAGGAUUGAUGUGUAGAGCCGCAUCCAUACCUGAGCCGUAAUGGUCGAAAAAAGAUGCGGAGUGAUGAGAUGAGAGGUUCAAAGGUGGGUUGGGGUUUGAGGAAGAACAACCUAAAAUUUUCCCCACCAACAGCAAAACCCUGCGAUGUUGCGUGGACGGCCUCUUUCGUCGAGUUGGACCCAGUAUUGCCGAUGACCUGGAGCUGAUCACCAUAAAGCUUUGCGGUGUGGGCGAUUAACAUGAUGUGCUCGUCCCAGGACAUUAACUGCCCUUCACCAGUAGUGCCUCCCACGAUCAAACCCCCGACUCCAGCCGAGAUCUGCUUUUCAACGAGGGAAUCGUAAGCAGAAAGGUCCACCUUCCCGUUGGCCAGGUAUGGAGUCUUAAUCGCGGUGAUGAGUCGCGUGGCUCUAAUUUCAUCGACACUUGCAGUCUUUGACUUCAUCGUGCUAUUAGUCCAUUCCUUGGUGGAUUCGCACUGCGAGAGCCAGACGAUGUAUCUUUCAGGCGGAAACACGAGGUGGUAGAAGAAACGGUGGCAAAUUUAAACAGCCGCGUACCUGUGAACGUAAUCGCUCCUCGUGUCUAGGUAUCAUCCGUCGAGGCCGACAUGUAGUGCUUAGGGCAGCGGGCUGACUGAUGAUCAUCGUCGUCGCGAAAAACCCUAUCUAGGAGGAGUGAGCGUUCUUUUGUGUGCUGAUAGGCUUCCGACACCAACUCAAACUGGACUCGAAUAAUGCACCUUUAUUUGAUAUUCUUGAUUGCGUGCGUGCUUGCUUAUUAGUUGCGCAAUAUCAUACCUUCGUAUAUACAUACAUACGAAGGUAUCUAUCUUCGUAUUCUAGAUUUCAACCAGGUUGAACACACCCUAAGCGAUACCUUAUUAUAAUAAAAGUUAUCGCUUAGCUGCUUAGGGUUAACGAUCGAUCGAAGAUAAGUCUGAGUUUAACGUUAGUUGGAACGUGAAUUUGAUGACAAUGUUACCAUACGACGAUUAAAUCAAUGGUAUCUUUAAUAAGCUCCAAAUAAAGUUAAAGGUGAUAAAACUUAUCAUUUCAUAAAAUAAAGUUAUCUUCGUUAGUUAUUAAGGGUGUUCAACCUGGUUGAAAUCCAGAAUACCUUCGUAUAUAAAUAAAUACCUUCGUAAACUAUUGUGAUAUUAUGAAUAGACUAUUAAAUACGAAUGACAGUCGAAUGACAGUCGAAUGACGGUAUGGAUAAUAAAUACGAAGGUAUCUAUACGACUCCAACUUCCAAAAUGUAACAAUCACCUGGUAUCGUUUAUCAAUGUUGAUGGUCUAUCCGUCUCAUACAUUGUCCACAUUUUUGACACCAUUAAAUCAAGAACGAUGGUCUAUCGGUCUAUGGAUUGUAAACAUUUUUGACAUCAUUAAAUAAAAAACGAUGGUCUAUCGUUCUAUGGAGUGUCCACAUUUUUGACAUCAUUAAAUCAAUAACGAUGGUCUAUCGCUACAUAGUUGAUGACAUUUUCUUAUUUUUAGCUCGAGAACCUUGAGUCAGCUGCUCUUAUAGUUGGUUCUUCCGAGGUACCUUCGUACCUUCGUACGAAGUUUAGAGGGAUAUCUAUCGAUCAUCUCGUAGACGAACUAUCAAUCUAGCUAGUCUACACACGUAUAUCAGACCUAGGGAGACGUGAUUCGACCCAGCCAUACCGGUAAUACGAACUCGACCUCAGACUCCGUGCGCGUACAACGAAAUCGCCAACUCCCGGCUAUGCCGACCACCCAGAGGACGAACGAAAUUUCCCUCUCUCUCUCCCACCUCACUCGCACUCACCAACCACUCGUCCUUUGGAGAUUUAUUAUUAAUACCUUCGUACGUGAGCACUGUAGUAGCUAUAUAUCUCGAGCUAGCUAUCUUGCUAGAGCUGGAGCCUAUCACUGAGAACGAUCCGUUUAAACGUUUUCAAGCGGAUCUCGUUUCAUCGCGGAUAAGUUGACAAAACCCUGUCCAGCCGGCUGUUGCCAGAGGGAUUUCAGGGUGAACUAAUAAUAUUCGAUGGAAGCAAGGACAGGUUGGACAUUUGAAAAAUAAGUGAAAUAAAUAUACUAGUCUAUAGUUUGUAUGGGCUUUUUGUACCGAUGGAGCAUCCGUACAAAUUCUCAACCAUGUGGUUCAGUGGAUUCCUUCGAAUUUUACGUUCCUGCGAAGGUAUCCAUAUAUACCUUCGUAAUAAAUAAGAUGGAGUUUACCAUAUAUCAUGCCUGCAGUAAAAUUCUUCUCAAAUCACUCGGGAACACUGACCUCUGGAUUUUGUCGUGGCGGAGGCCUCUCGAGGGCGAGAAUAUAUACACUGCGCAAGGAUAGCCACUCCGCGCAACCUGCAAAGAUUCGUGUUGCGGGCGAAACUUUUGCAAACGGGCCCAUUUUAAUAACUUUUGUCCCAAGUUUUGAAAACGAGUUGUUGUCGUUGCCGCCGCCGCCGCCCCCUAACCUCGACAGAACGCAAGAACUAGCUCGUUGAUUUGAACCAAGCCGGGCGGCGCGGUGCGUAUGAGUCGAUAUUCGAUGAAAUGCGAUGGUUUUGAUCAGGGGACUGGAUAUUUACCGGAAGCUCUUCGCGGCGUUGCUCGAAAUCAUCUAGCAUCUUUCGACUACUUUUUGGAUCACGGCCUUUCUGAUGUGGUUAGGUGCCUCGACAACAUUAGCAUCCAGCCUUCAGGCGCUCAGAAUACAUCGUCAUCGCCUCGCUUCAAGAUGUGGUUUGAAAACAUCAGUAUAGGGAGGCCAAUAAGGGAGGACACUACAGCGGUGCGUGCCCGUGACCCUCGCGUUUUCCCACGCGAAUGUCGUGAGUCGUCAAAUACCUACAAGGCGCCUAUGUUGGCAACAGUUGCCUGGACUUUCGGGGAUGUCGGCGCCAUCUUUCGCCGAGAAUUUCGCAUAUGCAUGUUUCCCGUCAUGGUUGCAUCGAAGGUCUGUAAUCUAUUUGGAUUCUCCCAAGAUGAACUUAUCUGUAGGGGCGAAGAGGGUCAUGAGAUGGGUGGGUACUUCAUCUUAAAUGGAAACGAGCGAAUAAUCCGGCUGCUUGUCCAGCAACGAAGGCACUACAUAAUGUGAGUCUAUUUCAAUCCCCGACAUUUUCGGAACCCUAAUGAGUCGAGCGCGAAUCCCGUUUAGACGUUUGAAAAUGAAUUCCCCAACGUUUUUGCAUUUCAUUGCACUUAUUCUGGAAUCAACGGUUUUGACCCUUUCGAAUGGGUGCGAAAACUUAUAGUAUGCGAUCGCGAUCUUGGCCCUAUCUGCACAGAAGGUCGUAAAACAUGUCUCUUUCUGUUUGACUCUUUAUGCCGGGAAUGAAGCGAAAGGCAUAUUCAUCUCGAGGGCCCAUUUACACUCACUAUGCAACUGCUAUCCGCUGUUCAGCCAACGAUGAGCAUACAAGCACAGUUCGCAUUCAUUACACAUCUGAUGGAUCUGCUAGGCUUGUCUUUGUUCAUCGUCGAAAAGAAUACUUUGUCCCCGCUGGAAUCAUACUACGCGCACUUGCAGAGUUUUCAGAUAGUGUCGUGCAGGCGAUUGUAGCCCGUGGUCUCACCGGUUUGGGAGCUCAAGUUUUCGCUAUUGAGCGCAUCAGAAUCAUUCUCGGUGAAGCUGCCACUUUUGGUAUUCACAACAAAGUUCAAGCUCUGGCUUAUCUUGGUGAACAUUUUCGCGCACAGCUUGAUGCGAACCCGUGGGAAACAAACUUUGAUGUGGGCAAACGCCUGAUUUGUGAACACAUUUUCAUACACUUGCAAAGUGAUGAGGAUAAAUUCAACCUUGUGCUACUUAUGAUGCAAAAGCUAUACGCUCUUGUUGCCGGACAAUGCUCAGCGGAUAAUCCUGAUUCACUAAUGCAUCAUGAAAUUUUGCUGCCGGGAAUUUUGAUGCAGAUUUUUGUUCGCGAGAAGCUGCAGGAUGCGCUGCACAAGGCAAAAAUUGCUUUGAAUAGAGAAUUUGAGGAGAACCCGAACCAUGCUUCAGCGGAUGAUGGAGAGUGGCUCUCGCAAGUUGCAAUUGAGGCGAUCACGAAAACAAAUAUUGGAAGACUUGCUGAGUAUUUUCUCGCAACGGGCAACCUUUCUAGUAGGACAGGACUUGGACUUACACAGACAAGUGGCUUCACAAUAGUUGCUGAUAAACUAAACUACAUGGUUGGGAAAACAUCUUCAUGUGGAAAUAAUGUAUUAUCCAUAAAUAGGUGUAAAUCUCAUUCUGCUAGCUUUUCUGCUGACCCUACUUCUUGCGUUACAUUUCACACUUUCGAUCAGUUCACCGUGGUGCUUAUUUCGCAGAGCUUCGAACAACGACUGUUCGGAAAUUACUGCCAGAGUCAUGGGGCUUUCUAUGCCCUGUGCAUACUCCUGAUGGUAGCCCAUGUGGACUAUUAAAUCACUUGGCUGCUUCAUGCUACAUACACGUUGCUUGUGAAAGUACUGGGGAGGCAAGAGACCGAGCCAGGAGCCAGGUUUUAAAAGUGUUGUCAUCAGCCGGCGCACUAAUCUUGCAUGGUAGCACAAGUCUUGGAUCUGCUCCUCCGGCACACCUUACAGUAAUGCUUGAUGGACUGAUCCUCGGCUUUGUAGCCGAUUCAGAUGCGAAAGUCGUCGUCUCAGCUCUCAGAGCUGCAAAGGUUUCUGGGUCAAAUGGGGUAUCUUCACAUCUUGAGAUUGCGCACAUACCAUUGUCUUCUUGUGGCUAUGGUGGAGCAUUUCCUGGGCUAUAUUUAUUUUCAACAUCUUCACGCAUGAUGCGUCCGGUCAUACAGCAACAAAACAGAAUCACUGAAAACAUUGGGUCAUUGGAACAGGCAUUCAUGUCAAUUAGAUGUCCAGAUGGUAGACAAAAACCAACCUGCAUUGCAGAACACGCACAUGAAGAAAAUGGACCUGGGACAAUCCUAUCCGUAGUUGCGAGUCUUACUCCAUGGUCGGAUUUCAAUCAGUCACCGCGAAACAUGUAUCAAUGUCAAAUGGCCAAACAAACUAUGGGCAUGCCACUACAUUCCUUUUGCUACAGGCCCGAUACAAAAAUAUAUCGUCUACAUACACCUCAGCGUCCAGUUGCCAUGACAGGGCAAUACGACAAAUAUCAGAUGGACAAUUAUCCUUUGGGGACAAACGCAGUCGUUGCUGUCAUUGCGCAUACCGGAUAUGACAUGGAAGACGCCAUGAUUGUGAAUAAAGGAGCCAUGGAAAGGGGCCUUGGUCAUGCAACAUUAUACAAAACGGAGACGGUGACGUUGGUUGCUGGAUCAGACGAAAAUUUUGGUCAAUGCAAUGUGAUACAGCAGAAAUUGGGAUCACCUAUUGCAUUUACGGAAAAGCAUCCAUUCGACCCUGACAUUGACACCGACGGUGCACCUCGUCCAGGAUCCAUAAAACAGGCCGGCUCGACAUUGUGCAGUGUUGUUGAUCGCAGUACAGGGCGAGUUAGACUUCACAAAAUCAAAGGCAGUGAUCAUGUGAUCAUCGACCGUGUUUCCAUUAGCAGUGGAAAAGCUAGCAAAGGGCAGACAGAAACAAAGAUGUCAGUAACCGUCCGAUGUGAUCGUAACCCAAUCAUUGGAGAUAAAUUCAGUUCGAGGCAUGGACAGAAAGGUGUUCUGUCAUUUCUUUGCCCGGAAGAAGAUCUGCCGUACAUUGAAAAGUCUGGAUCUCGUCCUGAUAUACUCAUUAACCCCCACGCAUUUCCUUCUCGCAUGACGAUUGGGAUGCUUCUGGAAAGUAUGGCAUCAAAAGCGGGGGCGCUCGAUGGUCGCUUCAUUGACGCAAGCCCAUUCCAAGCAGCCAAUGAUGAAACACAUAUCAUAUCACCCACUCGCGAAUACGGUGAAAUGCUCCGCAAACACGGGUAUAACUAUAGCGGAAGUGAAACAAUGGUCAAUGGUCUUACAGGAGAGCGAUUUGAUGUUGAUAUCUUUGUUGGUCUAGUAUAUUAUCAGAGGCUCAGGCACAUGGUGAGUGAUAAAUUUCAGGUCCGUUCUUUAGGCCCAAACAACCCCUUGACUCAACAGCCAAUUAAAGGCCGAAAAGCUGGGGGCGGCAUUCGGUUUGGAGAGAUGGAACGCGAUGCACUAAUUGCCCAUGGAUCGUCAUAUCUGAUACACGACCGAUUGCACGCCUGCUCCGACCGUCAUGUUACCUCAUUGUGCACUUACUGUGGUAGCUUACUCGCCCCGGGUGCAAACAUCCAAAUGGCCGCAACUCAUCAAGUACACGCCAGUGGCGCUGGAAAUGGGCAGGGUCGUUUACAUUCAUUCGACGAUAUAUUUCCUCGAAAGGUGUCGUGCAGAGUCUGCAACACUGGGACCGGAGUUCACAAUGUUGCUCUGCCAUUUGUUUUCAAAUAUCUUGCUGCAGAACUUGCUGCCAUGAACAUACGAAUAGGAUUGGAGGUCGGUGACGAUAGAGUUUGAGACCAUGCAAAAGUUGACGCGAUCAAUUACUUACAUUUGCGUUUGCCACCACCUACAUCUUUUCCAGACUAGAUUAGAUUCCAGGCUUUACCUGUCAAGUAUCAAUGAAUAAUGGUAGAAUGUGUUUACAGUGCUCGGAUUUUGUGUUCGUAGCAACAACAUAUGUGAAACAAACGGAUAAUGCAUGAUCACAUAAGAGAUGAUUUCAAUUUUUUUAAUCAUGCAUGCUAACUAUCCACCCUGCCACCAACUAAUCAAAUGUAAAUGCAUACAGAACGCGUGAUUAUUUUCGAUUGUCAUCGCUCCAAAAGCAUCACUGCUUCACAAUGAGUUGUGUGAGGAAAAAGAUCUACUGCAAUCGCCCUUGUGGGUUUGAAUGGCGCGCCGCCACUACUUCCAUCUGGCCCCUGAGGGGUACAUAGCUCAAUGCAGUUGGAUGCCAUCGAUACGGGAUUACAGGAGAUGUAUACAAUUCGGUGAAGACCUGCCUGUUUACGGAGUGCGAGAAGAACAGCCUUAUGCAAUCCUGCACGCGGUGGAUCUACAACGGCAACGAUGUUGUCAUACUCAUAAUCUGCAGAGCAACCAUCGCUUAACUCGACCGAAAUCCGUCCUCUCCGCCCAUCCUCGUAGAUUGACAGUUCAUCAUCACUACCACUUAUCUCCGCACUGGGAACUUGAGAUCCCAUGAUGAAUGCAUUUUCACCCCUACGGGUCAUUCUUUUUGGCACGACGAGUGGCGAGUAAUGCUUAAACAAUGAUGGAAGUGCAUCCUCUGCCCUGGCGACGAUCCAGUCACAGUUAUCGAUGCCAUUCAAAGAUGCAUUUACUUUGGCAUCCUCGAUAGCGCUCGCGACAACAUCAAUGCCCACCACCUUUUUCACUUUCCUCGCGAGGCUGAGUCCGAUUGUGCCGGUUCCGCAGCAGACAUCAAGUAGUAGCGAACGGCCAUUGGGACUAGCCCAUUCACCGACAAGCUGGUACAUUAUGUCUGCCCCACACGUGUUUACUUGGAAGAAUGCAGACGCAGAUAAUGAGAAAGUCAAUCCACACAAAUUCUCGUGAAUGACAUUUUCCUGACCGCUGACUCCUCUUCCCGUCUCCAGGUCAAGAAGAGGAGAAUCAGGAUGCGCAGCAUUUGAGACACCUUCAUGUAUUUGCAUCAACAUUUGAGUUAAAGGAAAUGGAUCUGGGGACGUUUGAUCAGCGGCUUUGCGGAGAGCAGAAGCAGCACGAACACACGCGUCUCGAACAGUCGAAGAAUCGUAUCCUGACAUGCUCACCUGCACUAUCACCAUCACCUCUGAGCCUUUUUGAACUUGAGGGUACUGUAAACUUCCAUGAUCUCUGCGAGAUGCAACUGGCAGAUCGUCCCUGCUUGACAUGUUAUCAUGUUUUGCACUCUCUUCUGCAGGUGGAAUGUGUCUUACCCACCCUGCCCAUUCACCUGAUUUUGGGGAAAACCUCCCUUCACGUACAGUCAGCAGCCUCCAAAAGCCCGCUCCUUUCCGUUUGUCCCACACAGGAAGAUAACAUGACCCUGAUGCAACGCUGUUCCGGGCUUCUGAUCGAAGAAACAGCUGAAAUGCGGUUGCAAUACAUUUUGCAAUAGGACUGAUGUGUCGGCAGUUACUAGGGGAGGAUACCGCAGUCACGCCAUCCCUAAAGAGCCCGACAUUAAAACCUACUGAAGGUUCGCCAUUGGUAUCAAGACCCACCGUGAACUCCGAUUUGUUGCGAUAUCCAUCUAUCACUGGCGAUCGAACGAUACCCAUCAGUUGCACAGGGUGCUGACUCUCCCCUUUUCGAGUCGAUGUCCAUUUAGGCAAAUCGGCACAGCCACCCUCAGCCCUUCCUCGCCUGCAGUUCUUUUUUACGCCUCGGACCAGAGUGUUCAAGGCGUCUUGGACUUUUUCAGCUUUCAUUGAUAGUUGUUCUUCGUAUGGUAACGACCACAGUGGACAAACAGCGUCACGAACAUCUCGUGGUGUGGAGUUUUCAAUACUGUUUCCUGGUGACAAAUUUGCAGUUUCACUGUGCCUUGAACAGUUCGCCAAAUGGAGUUUCACGAUGUUGUGUUUUGAUGUUUUUUCGUGUGUUCGUUUUUUAGGGUUCUUUUGAGGAAUAUUUGUUCGCCCUUCCAACUGAGAAGACAUGUUGUCACUGUCCACUUCAAACUCGAAGAAGUGGGGUUCCUUCUCCCUGCCGUGAAAGCAAAGGUGCAGCCCUUCAGUAAUGAGCGUAGCACGUAUCGCUGAAAAACAUACGUGAGGAGCACCAUCGAUAACGGUAGUGUCCGCGUUAACGACGUGUCGACGAAGGGUUGCGACGAUUAAAAUUUGGUGUUGACGUACUUGAGCGUAUCCGUGUGCACUGCAGUUCCCGCGGAUAAAUGUGGAGUACUUCGCGUGCAGCGCUUUGCGUUGUCAUCGCGGCCAUGCGCGCUUUUCCUGUUUCUUUCUAGACUACUCAUACCCUCUUCUUAUCGAGACACCUGGUGUACUUCUUGACUGUAAACGUGGGUCCAGCAGCGUCGGGGCGGUCCCAACACCUCUGCCUGCAGUUACGGGUUAACACUUACGAGUAAAUAAAAUAAGUUUUAAUAAAAGUUUUCCCGACCCGUCGAAACGACGAGGGAAAAAGAAAAAGACUGUAAUUCUAACAAGUUGGGCCGGUCCGCGCUUCGCCGCUCAGUGUGAUUUUCGAUGUUCGAUGGGAACUCUGGAAAAUUUUCCCCUCGGGGGUGUCCACAGCUGCCUGAAAUCCAGAAUACCUUCGUACAAGUACCUAGUGGUUCGUACGUAGUGCGUACGGGACUCAUAUUAUUAUUAUUUUUUAAACCAGUAGACAUAAUCUUUUCCUUCGAAGGUUCUUGCAGCAGCGGGCGCACGGCACGCGCUCUGUCCAUGCCUGACGCGCCCUCUCGAAGCCAUGACCGCCGUGCCGACUUUACCCCCCGCAGACUUCACCGCACGCGACGCCUUCAGCGGCGGCGCGGAUAUCCUUCGCGCGAGCGCCCUGAAAGGUCCUUACGUCCACUUCAGUCGCGUGGGCCCACCGGACGCCGCGCUGGACGUCGACGCGUACGCGCCGGGAACGUCCUCGUCGGGGUUCGAGCUGAGGCAGGGGCGCGUCAUGGAGCUUGCCCCACUCGUCGAGAUGCGAACGCCGGACGCUCACGUAUGCCCAGACGCCAAGGUCUGAGAGCUCUGGUUCCCAAACAGCCCCAGAUCCCAAAAAUCAAAUAAUGACCCCCGGCCCCUCCGCAAUCGAUGCGACACAACGCUCCUGUUUACACGCGCCCCAAACGCACGAUCCGACCCAUAUAAACCCCGAAACCCCCGUUCCAAUCAUAAGAACAGGUGACACUGCUGCAGCGAGCUACGGAGCUGGUGGCCACACCUCGCGAGAGGCUGAAACUGGCAUUUGGAUUCAGGCCGACGCCAUACGCUCUAACUGAUGGGGACAAGGGCGCGAUCCCCGCGGCGUUGGUGAAUCAUCGGCACUUUGAUGUGGCACGCGCGGCUGCGAACGCUGCGGCUUCGGGGGAUGACGCGGUGGUUGCAGUUGCAGUCGCGGUGAAAGCGAUGGGCAGCGUCAGCAAGGGGGAGAAACAGAGACACGAGAAGAAGGAGAAGAAGGAGAAGAAGGAGAAGAAGGAGAAGAAGGAGAAGAAGGAGAAGAAGGACAAUAAACGGCGGAGGAAGGACGUCGGACCAGACGCAUCAGGAUUAAGCGGUCCCACGGAAAUAUCUGGUGACACCAGGAUAACGUCUCAGUAGUGAUAAAACACUUUUGCGCAUAUUUCGGUCGGCUUCCCGCAUUCCUGGAGGGUUUCGUUGAACGAGCGAUGAAGAAGGUCGUGCAUGUCAUACACCAAAGUUUCGCAAGAUCUCUACGGGCUGUCGGCACCAUGCGUAAGCGUGCCUUUCUCUCCGCAGGGUUGUGCUUCGGUCGGCAAAACACGCAGGGGAAAGUACUUUCAGGUGGUGCCUGUAUCUUAACUCGUCGAAUGCAAAUUAAGAAAAACACCGACGUCAUUCCUUGAUAUAGUUACCUUCGAAGGUACGAAGGUACCUUGGCAGUCCUGACAACGACGGAAAUACCGUCGUUGGAGCUGCAAGCUUAGAGUUUGUCUAAUUUUCGUACGGCAUAACUCUUGAAUUUAUGAUGAUAUCAUAGUCCAUUAUUCCAUCUGGGUGAAUAUCUCGGCGGAAAUCUUUCCUGGUUCUGUUAGUCCCACGCGAUUGUUGACACUAUCGCACAUGGGCAGGGACCUUUCGGAUAUUAGCGUGUACCAGGACAGCCUCCGCGGGCGACUUCCGUCGCCCGCUCGGGACGUUCGGCGUUCCCUUCGCCUCCCCCACCCCGGCCUUGGUUUUUUGCGUAGUGUAACCCACGCGGUGUGUCCUGCCCUGUGGGCUAGAUCACGCCGUCCCACGGUGGGAAAACCGUGCCGGCCUGCACCUCCGGUGCCAUCCUGCACCUCCGGCGUCCUACCCCCUCCCUACCUCCUCCAUGAGGAGGGUGAAGGGGGGGACGCCUGUAGCGUGUUUGAUAAGAGAAGAGAGGAGAAACCCGCAGUCGCGUCCACCGCCCCGACCUGCGGGGAAAACCCGUACUACUAUAGUAAUCCACCGCCACUUCUGGCCUUCCUCCAAAUAAUUUGCUCAGCAUUUUUGCCGCCAGCCGGUGUGCUGGCGGCGCGUGUCCCGCUCCUUCUAUCGCGUCGCCCCAGAAUCCGCCAGAGCCAAAUCUUGCCGAAGGAUCCCCUCAAGGGGAUGCGCGCCUUGGCGCGCUCCUCCGCGCCAUCGCGCAAAGUGGAUUUGAGCCUCCCCCGGCGAGGGGCGCGUCCUGAGAAUGAUCAGCACGUGAUUCGUCGCCUGUGCCGCGGCUCGCGCGGGGCACGGUUCCACCGACACCGUCUCGACCGUUGAGAUCGACCGUCAGAAUCGUGGGACGGCCGUCGGGACGCGGACGCGCAUGUCGCCGCGCCCUCUCGCGCCGCCGGCCUCCUCGGCUAUAGGCCUCAGCGGGAGAGGCGGCUCCAAAACUUCAGCCCCAACCCCGUCUCACGCGGCUUCGCAUGUUUCGCACGUCCAUCCGCCCUCCGGGGCGCCCUCUGGCAUGCACUGCCUGCACGCGCCCGAGCCACAUGUCGCGAAGUUCUCGCACGUCGCAUCGUCACGUUCGCACUCGUCUCCGCACACGUGGCAUUGCGCCGCGUGCCCGCCGCGCGGCGUCAGUGACCACCUGUGGUGGCGCUGCGCCCACGCGUCGCCGCCUGUCGGGGUUCUCCUCCAUCCCGCCCCCCUCCCCGCGAUGUCCGCGCGCGCACGUCCGUGCACCCCUCCGCUCCCUCUGUCGGCGACCGCCAUCCAGUAACGAUCCACCUUGAGUAUAUUAAGUGUUAUUAUCAUAUCACAAGAAAUCGAAUUUCGACCGUCGACUUUCGGAAAGGAUCGGAAGUGCCGAUUUCCGAAAUUCGACGGCCUGAUCGGAAAAUCGUUACCGAAAGUUGUAUGGGCAUUUCGACCUUCAGGAAAGCAGACCGGCAUUCUUGAUUAAUUAGACAAACUCUAAGCUUGCAGCUCCAACGACGGUAUUUCCGUCGUGGUCAGGACUGCUUGGUACGUCGCACGAGUACUCGCGUAGUAGCACAGCGCAACGAACAGGCUUUGUGAUUGACACUCCAGAGCAUCCGACCGAUGACAACGCGGAGACGUGACGGCGGAACCACACAAGUAGACGACCCCAACAGAACGGACGAGGAAGAGCCGAGGACUAUGACGGUCUCAGGUGUGGGGAUAAAAGCGAGACGGGCAGUGCCCGAGGCCGAGGUUCCGGCCCACUUGCUGAGGAGAGCGGCGUGUAUAUUUCUUGUGGGAAUGGCGGCAACGUUCGUAAUCCUUCUGUACUGAACGCCGCCCAAAUUAAUGGUGCACGGUCCGUAGCCACACGAAUCGUACGGUUCGUAGCUACGCCAAAGAACUGUCCAUCGAAACGCCUUCAAGUAAGAGUGCUCUUGCCCAAGACUUUAGCCAAUUAUCUGCCGAUCCGAUCGUCGAGUCUAAGGGAUGCGAAUACAGACCAGGAUCCGCUUAUUAGCGCCGAGAAGUCGUCCCUCACAACUUGGGGCAAGAUGUCCGAGAAACAUGACGUUUUGUUCCACAACGUGAACUUCGCUCACUAUCAGAGGACAACCUUCUCUCACACAAGAGGACGGGUGUCUUUCAAGAUCCGCUUUCAACACGUGGAGGGCAGAGUUGUACAUUAGGAUCAUGCUCGAAACCUGCGGUGUUUGAUACAAGCACUUUGUAAGGCAUUUAGAAUGUCAUUAGAAACCAUUCAGGUGUAAUCAAUCAAUUGCGUGGUAUCACCAGAUCAGUGGUAUCACGGGACACUUAAAUUUCCAUCCGCUUCUCGGGGCUUGCCGACGAAGAUGAUGUCCAAAUCAGGUGAGGCCCAUGUCCCGCUUCAACUGCUCGAGCAUCUCGUCCACUGUUUCUCCUUGUUGACUUGGUUCCAUCUUGCCGCACGUGGAACUUUCAACAUUAUGGUUUUCAUGGGGACGCUUAUUUGCACUGGUGUUCGCUGAGUACUUAGGCUCGCGCUUGACGUCUUCCCAGAAACGGUCAAAGUGCCCUGCUUUUUUGCCUGGAACUGUGUCUUGUACUGCGUCCUCAAGAAACUCCACGAAUUCUUCCCCAAUACCGCUGAGCUCUUCCCAAAGGGUCCUGUGUUUCACCCGGGACCGCGUUCGCUCGAACGCGUCGAUUUCUUCUUGCACAUCAUACAAGAACUCGUCAAAGCCAUGAAGCCUCUCCUUUCCACCCUCCAAGGUACCUUCGAAGGUACUUUUUGGUGGUGAACCUGAAGGUGACGAGGACGAUGCUCCAGAGUCAUUUGAUACUGCGACUCUUUUCGACCGUGACGAAUCAAGCUUACUCCUUCGAUCUGGGUCUGAUAAGAUCUGAUAUGCCAUCUUAAUCUCGUUGAAGCGCUCCGCCGCGUCCACGGCCUGGUUUACAUCCGGGUGGUACCUAAGCGCUGCUCUGCGGAACGCUGACUUGAUCUCGCGCGUGUCCGCCGAAGGGCUCACGCCGAGAAUCCCAUAGUAGUCCGUGUACCCGUCAGAAGAAGGAUGCACUACACGCAUCAAGGUAGCUUGCCCGAAGCGUGGCAUUGGGAGCGCAAAACCGAAGCACCCUUCGAAAGUUCGUCCCUGACGACCAUAGCCCUCGUGGCCGUUCGUGGACUUGCUCUCUCUCGCAAGUUUCCAGCUGCGCCUGAUUGGCGAGCUUGCGGCGGAAACUGCCGAUAGCGGGGCAAUCGAGCGCAUUUCAAGGCACGCGAUAAGUCGGGAUCAUUGUUGGGCGUACAUGCUUUGUAGUAGUGCCGUCGGUGCAGUUGUUUAUUUGCAGCUGAAACAUACGAGGCACGUACUGUGUUACCCGCUGCUUGAUGAUCCGUGAUAAGGAUUGGUGGAAAUUUUGCAAGGGGUUCGCGGGAGGCUGGUCAGUGCUUCGGUGAAAGAAGGACUAAUAAUAAGAAGGGCUUCUUAUUUAGCCAUGGUUUGAAGCUGAAUUUCAUCGAUUCAUCUGCCUAAAUUUACAUACCUUCGAAGGUACCUUGAUUGGUAUUCUGGAUUGCAGGCAGCUGUGGACACCCCGGAGAUAAUAAUAAUAAUAGUCUAAUAAUUCUCCAAAGGCCGAACCGUUCGUGAGUGCGAGUGACGUGAGGUGAGAAUCGUUCGUCCUGUGGGUGGUCGGCUAGCCGAUGAGGCAUGCGCGUAUACGUAUAUUUAUAAAUAUAUAUACACACAUGAUAUUACUGUCGUAUACGUAGAUAGUUUAACAUCGUUCGUAUUAAUAAUAUUUAGUGGUUCGGCAUGUAUAUAAAUAGUAGUCUAUGUAGUAUCGGCUAUACGCCGAACUACUCAGCCCUCGGACCAGCUGAUGAACAAAACGUAAUGUAACAUAGCGCAACGUCGGAUCUGACGACGCAAACUCGUCAACGCCAAUGCGCGCUCCUGAUGAUGGCAUCCUCCAUCUUUGGCGCCGAACAGUGUAUUUGCCAGUUGUCAAGCGCGCUUGCCGUCCUGACUAGCCGGCCAUAGGGGGAAAAACACGCGCGACCCAAAAUGUUUGGCGCGAAGCGCGUGUCGUUAUUUGCAACCGACCGCUGAUCGUAUGGUAACCUCAAUGCCGACCGAAAGUCAACGAUAGGGAGUUAGGUCUAUUAUUAUCAUUCCUGUCAGAUAAUUGUGACUAGCUAGGUCACUGUACCAUCUCGUCAGGUUCAUAUUCUUACGCCCUUUAUAGCUAUCUAUGAUAGAUCGAUGAUAUAUGUAGUCUACAUAAAACCCUCGAAGGUACGAAUGAGGUACUUUAUUUAUUUCGCGUGCUAAUAAAUACCAAGGUAUCCAUACGAAGGAUGCGAAGGUAAUGAGAUACGAAUGUACCUUCAGCGAGGGUAAUACGAAGGUAUUAAUACGUACGAAUGAAGCUAUUUAUUACCUUCGUACGAAGGUACCUUCGUAUAGAAUACCUUCGAAGGUACGUACGAAGGUAACCCUUAAUAACAUUGCAAUAACAGUUACCAGUCCCGUGUGAAAUUUGUUUUUUUUUGUCGAAAAGCGAUGCCCAACGCGCCCAUCGGCGACCGCGCGAUGCUCCGUCGCGUAACUAUUUCGAGAUCGCACAUAGCCAAAAAUCAGUAGGCCGUUGUUUACUGUCGAAAUACCCGUACGGCGCGCGCGAUUACUGGCCCGAUCCACGCGGAAGCCUGUCACAACCGGCGCGUCGUCGUGGGAUUGGAUUUCACGAGCAACGCUGCGUGGGAGUGUGCCUGUAAACUCUUCACACUCUGAAAGAAGUGCCAAACUUCCUGCGGCGUUGUGCUGGCAGAUUCUCGAUGGGCCUGCUUUCGGUUAUUAAAAAGGUCAAGGCCAAUGAAAAAGAGUUACGCAUCCUUAUGGUUGGACUCGAUAACGCAGGUAAAACGACGAUAGUAAAGCGAGUCAACGGCGAGGAUAUCGGCUCCGUCUCUCCAACUCUAGGUUUCAAUAUAAAAACAAUGAGGUAUAAAGGCUACGCUUUGAACAUAUGGGAUGUUGGCGGGCAAAAGACGUUGCGCAGCUACUGGCGCAACUACUAUGAGACCACAGACGGACUGGUGUGGGUGAUCGACAGCGCAGACCAUCGACGGUUGGAGGACUGCAAAGAAGAGCUCCACGCGCUGUUGUCCGAAGAAAAACUUGUUGGUGCGACACUGCUGAUCUUAGCUAAUAAGCAAGAUAUUCCCGGUGCAUUGACAAAAGAGAUGCUCACGCGGGUUUUGGAUCUUCGGAAAAUGACGAGUAGGCGCUGGCAUAUCGAGGGCUGCAGCGCAUUAACAGGAGAGGGACUGCUUCAAGGCCUAGACUGGUGUGCCGAAGAUAUCGGAUCACGGAUAUACUUGUGUGAGUAAAAUCUCACAUCGUUGAACAACAAGGGAAACUGGUUUGUGCUUAGCAAAGUUGUUCAUGAUACUUCUCAAACUAACCGCAUUCGCCGUCAUUAGUCUGUCGAUUCUUCUUAAACUCAGGCUUCCACUUCCAAAGUUGGUGUAAUUCGCAGGUCCCUUCUGGCGCACAAGGGCUGACUGUUUCGGAUGAACCAGAAAAUACGAAAACAUAAACUUUUUUUCCGCUCCCUGAACUUAUUUCAUUGACUUCGCCCUCGCCAUUGAGAAUGCAGAGUUGCUGUGGUGCCGCGUUACUGUUACCUAUGUCUUUUCGCGCGGUUAUUUACGCAUCUUUGUGAUCUUAGUAUUUCUGAUGGAAGGUAUUUUAUUGUUAUCCACCUCAUCAUACAGAAGUUGAUGAGGCGUGUGGGCACUAGCUCGUCGAUCGGAGGAACUAGAGCCGCGAAGACCCCAACGUAUGGAUGUGAUGAGAGUUGGCGCAGCAGGAACUGCUCGAAACUUUUCUGGGAGCGAUUCAUAUUGUAGCAAGCAUAAUUGUCUUGCUUCCGCGUGUAGCGCGUUGUUUCCACCUUCAGACCGCUUAUUUGCACAAUGCAGCAAUGGACCGUUUACAAAAUAUUCCGUUUGGCUGGUUUGUGCCGAUAUCCGCGCAGUUCAGCAUGCAAGGGUCUUAUGUUUGUUUCUCAAGGCUCGUCCAUAUCGUUGACACAAUCCAUUUUCGCGCUUGCAGGACAGCAGCACCAAAUGCACUGCAGGGCACAACAGCAGGAGAGCCAACUUUCUCUGCUGGUGCAAAUCCCAAGUCUCGGUAGCCCAUGUCCAUCGUGUAAUGGUUCCCAACCGGCACGGACUAAAUCUAGUUCAAGGUCGCGCGUCAGAAGGCAAAGAUGUAUUGCCGAUACAAUCAUAAUACUGAAGGCGAUAGCCAAGCAAGCCAUGUAGAAAAAGAUCGAAUGAGUUGUAAAAGCUAGGGCCGGAGCCGCCAUGAUGACGAAGUCGAACGUCCCGUGAUAAAACCAAGAAAAUCCAAGGCACUGAAGGACAUCAACACGAUGUUGCCCACUUCUUGCUGCGGCCAAAGACUGAGCAUCGAGCCACAAACUCCUCACAUACCGUGUUGCUGUCAUCCCCGCCCACACUGAAUGUAAGGGGAAAGCUCCACGGCCAAAUGUGACCGCGGCCGCACUUUGUAAUUUCUGUGCCUCGGUGUAUGGCUUUUUAAAAAGGGUGAAGUUCAGAGAAAUCGGAGCAGAGGCUUCCGUUCCCAUAUCUUUGUGUGGACUUAAAUCUGCUGUUGAAUUUGUUCUUCGGUUUUCUGCAAACGAUCUAGCACUUAGAGUGUGUUUGAGGACAUCUAUUGUUGUUCUAAAUCUGGCCAGUGUUUGAUACGGAUACGACAUAAGGCAUAUUUGUGAUGAAUCAUCUUCAUCUCCCUCGCGCGUGUCUUGGUCUAGAAGCUCGCAAUGAGUUCUAAGGCUCAGAUUGCAGAGCCCUUCGAACGCACAUUUAAACAUUUCGUCCCUCUUUGAUGAAAUCUGUCGGUCUUCAAUCCUCGAUGAAACGUCCAACUCGGACACCACAAUUCCUUCGUGACUAAAUUUCCGGUCAACUGUGAAGUUUCCCGCAGUUGGAUCCAUUCUUAUACUCACGUGCACACUUGAGUUGUAUUUGCUCCACUCCGUCGCGGCAGAAUAAAUGUUAAUUCCGUAUUGAACGUUUUCAGUGAACGCGAACCCAAUUCCAACAACAAACCCGAGAUACACUACGAUCCUUGGAUUACUCACAGGCGAGAACCAACCGACACUUGGUCCUCCGCAUCGUGUCGACCAGUAGUCAUCAUCUUGUAAACGUGUUUUCAAAGUGUAUACAUUACCGUAUCCAUGGUCAAGUGGUUGUGCCUUCUCAUUAGGGGGAUUCGAUCGAGACGGGUAAUACCUUGCCAGUCCGAAGUACAGUUUUGAGGGUCACGUAAAUAGAUACGGCCUUAGGGUAAAACAGUGCCAAUUUUGUUGAACACGAGCAUAAACGAGUAGCGGCGAACCCUACCUUUGCAAGCUCCUCUGCCAGGCCAGCGGAAAAAAAUGCGACAACGACGGCUGCAGCCAACGUCAUCCUCUCGAGCUCAUCUCCUCGCUCCUGGGCACGAUAACCCUCUGUGUUUGGAAAUGAUUCUGCGGUGUCUGAAACUUCGUUAAACAUCAGUCUCCGUGGCCUUGCUAAAGUUGCUAAACCAGGCACGAAAGCAAUCAUGGACCCUACCGCCGCCCUGACUAUAUAGACCCCGACGGGGCACACAACUGCGCCCACCCAGAACGUUUGUAGCACCUUGGUGAAAGGCAGUUCUUGUUGCAGAGCUUUGCGACAUUUACUCCCAAGCAGCACGAACACGAAAUACCAGCCUAGUUGCGUAGCAAGGGACGCAAGAAGGACGUAAGUUGCAACCGUGAAGGUGGUGGUAUAAGCAACAGUUAUCCACUUCAGAAUAAGAAAAAUCACGGUGAGCCAUCCCCACAUAGCUUCCCUGUCAUCUCUGCAGAGCCAACCGACUGGCCAGGCAUACCACGGUGGUGGUCGAGUUGGUCGCGGGGACUCGUAGUCGUCCAGCCCGUGGCCCGGUUCAACCAUUCUGGCUUAUUCUGGAGGACGGAUGCGUCCUCGGUAAGGUGAUGCCAUGCCGUCUACGAAAACAAGAAAGCAAGGUAUGGGGUAGAAUAUAUAUGUGCCUCGUAUCUGUAUGCUCCCUAAAAUACAAAUAUGAAGGUAUUUAAGGACAGGGGUGUAGUAAUUAUUUAAUAAACCAGCCUUUUGAAAAUCAGAGAAUUUGCUCAUAGGACAACGAACACGCACACGUGCCCACUCUCGUAACCUUAAUACUUGGUGUUGGUCGUCUGGCUCUUGCUUGGCUAUACAUAGACUAGUUAUCUCGUACGAAGGUACUUGGCAAGAAAGCAGAUUUUAUUUCGAGAAACUAGUCUAGGUGUUUACCGUAGUUGAUCUUUUAUUGAGAAACUAGGUAUUUACCACGAAUCCCGACCACUAAACCCCUGAGAUAGAAAUUAGUGACCGGGUACGGCUGCACGUAGUGUUCGUGUGCUCCGUACAUUCCGCCACGAGCGCCGUGCUGGCGGUCGUUGGUGACGGUCGAUCCGGCGACCCUUUGCAUGAGCGAGAUGAUAAGCGCGACGUGUACGAGGGCGAGGUUUCGGAGGUGGAUACGGUUUCGGAGCUCGUUCGGCGGGUCGAUGGAGUCGUAGAUGGCUUGCGUCCGCUCGUUGACGUUGCCCGAGGCUCGGCGGGCGGUGAGUGCGGCGACGUCUUAGGUGUUUACCACGAAUCCCGACCACUAACCUGAAUUAGAAGUUAGUGACCGGAUACGGCUGCACGUAGUGUUCGUGUGCUCCGUACAUUCCGCCACGAGCGCCGUGCUGGCGGUCGUUGGUGACGGUCGAUCCGGCGACCCUUUGCAUGAGCGAGAUGAUAAGCGCGACGUGUACGAGGGCGAGGUUUCGGAGGUGGAUUCGGUUUCGGAGCUUGUUCGGCGGGUCGAUGGAGUCGUAGAUGGCUUGCGUCCGCUCGUUGACGUUGCCCGAGGCUCGGCGGGCGGUGUGUGCGGCGACGUCUUUGAGGAAGUUGAGGAACGGUUUGCCCAUCCUUCCGUACGUGUCCAUCACGAGCGGGAUGAAUUCCUUGUGCACCGCCGUGGCCGCCGCCUUGUACUUGUUGUUCUUGUCAGUCUCGCGUUUCAUGAUGGGGUCGCUGUUGGGGGCCGAGUUGCCUUGGCGGGGUCGUGGUUGGCUCGCGUGGUUGGCUGCCGAGUCCAUGAUGUGGGUGAUGGAGACGUCUGCGAGGAUUGUGAUGCCGGUGUCUCGCAGGCCGUCGACUCGGAUGUCUGGUCGCAGGCUGUUGGUGUUGCCGUCCCGGUUCGUGGUGCCUGGUAUCUCGCCGAUGGGCUCGGUGAACGUAGUCAGGCCGCCCAGCUUGCAGACCGCCUGAACGGCGAAUUUUACCUUGUCGUGCGUCCUGGUCUGGUUGCCUCCUGCGUUGCUGGUGUGGACGCAGAUUAGGUACUUGGCAAGAAAUUUUGCAAGAGUAAUCAUCAAGGCAUACUUGAAAUGUCUUGAAAUGUAUAUACAUGAACGAGUCAAGAACGUGUUCGUUUUUGCAAUAAUUUAGCAAAACGUGUUCGUGUACGUACAUACCUUCGUACAAUAUAUGUACGUCAAAUUUAUUUAGAAGUCACAUAUAUAUGUCGAACUCACAUUUAUUUAUUUAGUACGUACACAUGUACCUCAUAAAACACUUAAAACCCUUACCACAUUCCAACCCGCCCAUUCGCCGAAGUUGACCGACGUAUGGAUGAAAAUUCAGCUUCAAACUACGGGGGAGUCGCCCUUCUUAGUCCGUCUUUCACCGAAGCUUCAUCGAUCAAUACUCUUCAAAAUAUACGUCUGGGCGCGCAACUCGAGGGAAGCCAAAAACCAGAAAGUCCCCCCUUUCUUUCACCGAUGAAUCGAUGAAAUUCAGCUUCAAACCAUAGCUAAGAAGCCUCUUAGUCCUUCUUUCACCGAAGCUCCAUCGAUCAAAACUCGAGACCGUCUCGGACUCGUCCCAAACCAGCCUCCCGCGAACCCCCUGUCAAAGUUCCUCAGUCGCAAGGAAGGCACCUUUCACGGAUUAUUAAGUGUUAGCGCUAAUAAGGUUUUAAUAAUCAAACGGUUUCACCAGCCAGAAUAAGUGACAUCGAGAUAGAGAACUAAAUGUCACGCUGCCGCCGACACUUCAUGUAUGAGAUGAGUCAUCAAAUACCUUCAGUUUAGUAGUAUCAUCGGUCAAGGAUUUGGCUGCUCUGGCCGCGGCAUGUGCCCUCACACAGUUUCCUUCGGCAAGAGCUGCAUUUGAAUGCAAAUAUGCCGCAGCGUCCCGCGAUAGUCUAACUUUUUCCUUACUCCUUGUGCACAUUGUUUUCUCAAAGUCGGAGAGUGCCGUCGCAACGUCGCCAUCAAAAAGUCCAGCGCUGCACGACUCGGACUGCCAUACCAAUCCUUGCCUAUGCUUCGAUCUCGAUGGACUGAAUGUUGGAGUUCGGAAAAGUGCACGGGCCAGCUGCACAGCAUCCAGAAGUGCCUGGUUGGCGCCCUGACCUUUAAAUGGAGACAUGGGGUGUGCUGCAUCACCAAUAAGGGUUACGCGUGAUGCUGCGCUGUGUUCGUCUGACAUAUUCCGUAGGUCGCCUGCGUUCAGACAUGCGCGGUCAUAUGCAGGAUAUCCCGAAAGAUUUUGGAUACUGGUCGAUGAUAUUAGUUCAGGAACAGGAUCUACCCAAGAACCGCAACGCUCGACCGCCUCGGAAAGAAGUUUUGCCGGGUCAGCCUUUGCCAGCUCAAUUGCCUUUUCUUCUGAAAUCGGGAAAGAGAGCUGCCACAUCAAAAGAGGAACAGUUGCCUUGUUGUUUUGUGUAGAUACUUCGUCUCCCUGUCGAAGCGCCAGGCAUCCGUCCCCAUCGCAUGAUCGAGAAAAUGGCAUAACGUAUAUCCUUGUCGUCCCGUCAACUACCUGAAACACUUUGUGAUCGCAAAGAGGGUGGCUGACUCCAUGACAUAUUCCAAGCAUCACGAACACUCCGAGGCAGUGGAGUGGGUAUGCUUCCCCGACAGCUGCAUCGCGUGAAUUUUUUGCGAGUUUCACUGGUCUGACUGCGGAGAAGAUUCCGUCUGCGCCAACGAGAAGAUCAAAGCUCAAACGGUCACCAUCCUCGAAUUGGAGCUCUACACCUGACGAGGUUGAACAAGUUGUCUCUUUGUAAUUUUUAAACUUCUUUCCCCAGUGAACAGUUCCUGGAGAUAACUUUUCAAGCAGCACACGACGUAGUGCUUGUCGCGGUAAGUGAACAUUCUUUCGGCCGGCGUCUGAAGCUGAGUUGACGGCCACUUUCUGGUCAUUAUAAAGUCGCGUGCCGUGUCCAUAUCUACCCAAUUCUCUGCCGGCUGCGGUGAGAGAGAUGUUUGCGUUUGAACCAACCCCAUCGAGCAACACUCCGAGUUGCUUGAGAGCAGCCGCUCCUGAAUAUUUCUGCAGAGUGAGACCAUAACCUUGCUUUCGCAUUGAAAAUGAAGUGUCUCGCUCGAAUAGAGAUACAUGAACGCCGCGCUGUUGUAAUGCCAGAGCCAGAGCCGCACCCCCGAUACCUGCACCAACAAUUGCAACUCGAGGGGACUCGAGAUGUGGCUUCUGUGGUUUUCCGCAGGGCGUGGGGACGAGGCCAGUGCCCAUACAUGGUUUGCAGGGUGCUACUUUUGCUGGUGGCGCCCUGGCUAGCAUCUCGAAACUGGAAAGAUCCCGUGGACAUUCAACUGACGCCCCUGCCGCCGCCUCGCGCUCCAAUCGACGCUCACGUUUUUGCUUUUUCGAAAGAGAGUAAACAACACCUUCCCCGCCGCAACUUGAGCACCACAUCAUGUUGAUAUUCUUGCCUUCAGCAUCGCCGAUGCUAUCUGACCCUGAAGAGAUUUUCGCUUCAAUGACCAUGUCAACGUCGGCAUGCAAGAUAGGUCGGCCAGAGACGUGUACUCGCGGAACGCACGAGCGUACUACGCUGACUUGCGUUCGAGGCGAGGGACGCUUAAGACGGUGCGAAAAAUGCUGGAAGCGUACGUAUUCGGUGCAGAUUUUUGAAAAUCUGACGGCAACCAGCGGCAUGAGCACAGCCCGCGUUGUUCCGUUGUCUUUCGCACCUCCAGCGGCGCAAAAUUUUAUCUUCGUGCGAAAGUACCAACGAGAAGGACGUUCCGCUGAACAGUCGUCGUCCAAAGAACGGGAAGGCGUCGCGCAGCGUUGUUAAGUGUUAGUCAGAAAUAAAUAAAGUAUAGAAUACCUUCGUAUGUACCUUCGUAGUUUAUACGAAGGUAACAAAUAUUUAAAGAUGGUCUGGUCUUUAUUAACUGUGGCUGGUACGAACGAAGUAAACAGGGUCGCGCGUGUUUUUUUUUCCGUAUGGCGCCCUGUGAGGACGGCGAGCGCGCUAGACAACUGGCAAAUACGCUACUCGGCGCCAAAGAUGGAGGGCAUUAUCAUCGGAAGCGCACAUCGGAGUUGACGAGCUUGCGUCGCACGAUGCGAUGUUGCGCCUUAGCUACUGUUUCAGCGGCGAGUUGACGGUCUAUUAACUCGUAAAACCACGAUAUUGUCGUAGCUAAGGCGCAACAUCAUAUCUGACGACGCAGCAUCGUCAACGCCGAUGCGCGCUCCUGAUGAUGGCGUCCUCCAUCUUUGGUGCCGAGUAGCGUAUUUGCCAGUUGUCUAGCGCGCUCGCCGUCCACACUGGGCGCCAUACGAAAAAAAAACACGCGCGACCCAAAAUAUUUGGCGCGAAGCACGUGUCGGUAUGUGCAACCGACCGGUAAUCCUAUGGUAACUCCACUGUAACUCCUCUGCCGACCGAAAGUCAACGAUAUAGCUAGGGAAAGUGGUCUAUUGGAUACAUAAAUGCCUUCGAAGGUUACUAAAGCCCCCGCCCGAAGGUACGAAGGCAAUAAUUAUGUACCUUCCAAGCUAUGCAACAUGUAUGAUAUACAAGUGUUACGAAGGCAAUAUAUACAUGCGGUUGCAGAUGAUCAUCAUUAAUUAACCAAGACUCGAUUGACUGUCGAUCGAGGACCAUUUUAGAUAGAGGAAACAGUGAGGAAACUAUAUCAUAUACCUUCGUAAUAAAUACGAAGGUAAUAAAUAGACUAAAUAAUAAAUAUGAUAUGAUGAUAUGAAGGUAUGAAUAAAAAAGAGCGGGACGCCUGAAGCACCCGCCGAACUUACCGGAGACAGAUCGAGAAUAACCGACUGUCAGCCAUGGUAGAUUCCCCUGACGAUAAGUCUGGAAUUCGCGUCAAGAAGGACACUUCGACCGCCAUCCUCGAGCGCAAGAAGUCCCCAAAUCGCCUUGUUGUCGGUGGGAAAACUUUCUCCCUGUCGUGCGAUAAUCUACGCGUUCUUACCACUUCGCUCUCGACUAUACCUCGCCCCGAGCUAUGCUACCCAGCACCAGUGCGGCAAUUUACUUGACAUCGAUCCCAUGAUUUUUCGUCCCAGACGAAGCUGUGAACGAUGACAACAGCGUCGUGGCGCUCAACCUCCAGAAGAUGGAUGAACUGCAGCUCUUUCGCGGGGAUACGGUGCUGAUCAAGGGCAAAAAGCGCAAAGACACCGUUUGCAUAGUACUCGCAGAUGAAUUUUGCGAGGAGGGCAAAAUUCGUAUGAAUAAAGUUGUUCGCAAAAAUCUACGUGUUCGUCUGGGAGAUGUCGUGUCUAUCCACCAGGUGGGUUUCCAGAUCUGUCAAAUUUGGGAAACUGCCCUCACUCAACAUUCUUCUUCAGUGCACCGACGUGAAAUACGGACAACGGAUUCACGUUUUGCCUUUCAGUGAUACAAUCGAAGGAGUCAGUGGGAAUUUAUUUGACGUGUACUUAAAGCCCUAUUUUCUUGAGGCCUACCGCCCGGUUCGAAAAGGGGAUACGUUUCUUGCUAGAGGAGGCAUGCGGGGCGUAGAGUUCAAGGUUGUCGAAACAGACCCGGCUGAGUAUUGCAUCGUUGCCCCGGAUACUGAAAUAUUCUGUGAAGGUGAGCCAAUCAACAGAGAAGAUGAGGAGCGACUCGACGAAGUUGGUUAUGAUGAUGUCGGCGGUGUGCGAAAGCAGAUGGCACAGAUUCGAGAGCUCGUGGAGUUACCUUUACGCCACCCUACUCUCUUUAAAACAAUUGGUGUCAAACCGCCAAAAGGCAUCCUUCUUUACGGACCUCCUGGAUCAGGAAAAACUCUCAUCGCGCGAGCGGUCGCAAAUGAAACUGGUGCAUUCUUCUUUCUCAUCAACGGGCCAGAGAUCAUGUCUAAACUUGCUGGUGAAUCCGAGUCAAACCUUCGCAAAGCUUUUGAGGAAGCUGAGAAGAACGCGCCGGCGAUCAUUUUCAUAGACGAGAUCGAUUCCAUUGCACCGAAGCGUGAGAAAACACAGGGGGAAGUUGAACGAAGAAUCGUUUCGCAACUGCUUACUUUGAUGGAUGGCAUGAAGUCACGAGCCCAUAUCAUCGUCAUGGGCGCAACUAACCGGCCCAAUUCUGUUGAUCCAGCACUGAGGCGUUUCGGUCGCUUCGACCGGGAAAUUGAUAUUGGCGUUCCUGAUGAAACAGGCCGUCUCGAAGUGCUGCGCAUCCACACGAAAAACAUGAAGCUCGAUGAAGAAGUUGACCUUGAGAAAGUUUCGAAAGAGACGCAUGGUUAUGUUGGCGCUGACCUCGCUGCACUUUGUACAGAAGCUGCGCUUCAGUGUAUUCGAGAAAAGAUGGAUGUCAUUGAUCUUGAGGAUGAAACGAUUGAUGCCGAGGUAUUAGACACAAUGGCAGUGACAAACGAUCACUUCGUGACUGCUCUCGGAACUUCGAAUCCAUCCGCGUUGCGAGAGACCGUUGUCGAAGUCCCGAAUGUUUCCUGGGAAGACAUCGGUGGACUUGAAACCGUCAAGCAAGAACUUCAAGAAACCGUGCAGUACCCUGUUGAGCAUCCUGAAAAGUUUGAAAAGUUCGGCAUGGCGCCAUCUAAGGGCGUGUUGUUCUAUGGACCGCCAGGAUGCGGCAAAACAUUGCUUGCAAAAGCGAUUGCAAAUGAGUGUCAGGCAAACUUCAUAUCUGUCAAAGGCCCUGAGCUCCUUACCAUGUGGUUCGGUGAAUCAGAAGCAAAUGUGAGGGAGAUUUUCGACAAAGCUCGUCAGUCCGCUCCAUGCGUGCUUUUUUUCGAUGAAUUGGAUUCGAUUGCCAAUCAGAGAGGAUCCAGUUCUGGCGACGCUGGAGGCGCAGCUGAUCGCGUCUUGAAUCAACUUCUCACCGAGAUGGAUGGUAUGGGUUCAAAGAAAACGGUGUUUAUCAUCGGAGCCACCAAUCGUCCAGACAUUAUUGACUCUGCUUUGAUGCGUCCUGGCCGCCUUGAUCAACUUAUAUACAUCCCCCUACCCGACGAAAAGUCUCGACUUUCUAUAUUCAGGGCAAACUUGCGCAAGUCGCCUCUCGCACCUGACGUUGACGUGACCACCCUCGCGCGUUUUACGAAUGGUUUUUCAGGAGCAGACAUCACAGAAAUAUGUCAACGUGCGUGCAAAUUCGCCAUUCGCGAGAGCAUUCAGCGUGACAUAGAGCGAGAACAGGCUUCGUCGAUCGAUCCUGACGCGAUGGACAAUGAUUCCACUUAUAUCGACCCUGUGCCCGAGAUAACCAAGGCCCACUUCGAGGAGGCAAUGAAAUUUGCGCGGCGCUCUGUCAGUGAUGCUGACAUCAGGAAGUAUCAGGCAUUCUCACAAACCCUGCAGCAGUCCCGUGGCUUUGGCAAUGACUUCCGCUUUCCAGAUGGAAACAACAGAAGCAACGGUGGCGGAGGAGGAGAUGGUACUGCUGAUCACUUCGGCGCAGGCGACUCUCAACUCUUUACUUCAGGAGAAGCACAAGACGAUGAUGACCUGUACAGUUAGCGCGCUACUCACAGCUCAUGUCGAUUCCAAAGCUGAAUAAUAAGGUGAACACGCUCGUAGAGAGUCGUUACAUAGAGUAGAGUAGUGCGCACUGGCACCCCAUGCAAACUAUUAGACAGCAAAGCAGAAUCUGUUACCUCCAGAAGGUAUCUUUGAAGACUUCCAUGCAUUAACACAUAGAUAAUAGACCAUCACUAUCGCUGACUCGUUGAUUUCGUCGACGCAUUGACUCGUUGAUUUCGUCGACGCAUUGACUCGUUGACUUAAACAGGGUCGGCUCACAAAUACACUGUUCAGCGCCAAAGAUGGAGUGCAUCAUCAUCGGAAGCGCACAUCGGCGUUGACGAGUUUGCGUCGCACGAUGCGACGUUACGCCUGAGCUACGGUUUCAGCGGCGAGUUGACGGGCUAUUAACUCGUAUAUCUUAUUUGUCGUAACACUUAGCUAAGGCGCACUUUGUUACCUUCGAAGAAGGUACCUGAGGUACUUUUAUUGCGACUAAGAAAGCAACACUGCGCGGCCUUCCCGCUCUAUGGACGACCACUGUUCUGCGGGACGUCUUUAUCGUUGCGCUUGGCGUGCACGUAGUCGUCGUCCUCACACGCACGCCACUUGUGAACGAGGAAUCGACGCCAAGGCGUCUUCUGAUGAGGCGGUGGUAGACGUCGAAGUUGACCGAUGCAUCAAUGAAAAUUUGGCCUUCUAACUGUGGGUUAGUGGCCCUUCUUAGUCCUUCUUUCGCCGAAGCUCCAUCGAUCAAACUCGAGACCGCCUCAGACUCAUCCCAAACCAGAGCCUCUUCUAGCUCUAAGCUAGCUAGCUUAUUAGCUACCGAAGGAACGAAGGUACUAUAUACGCGAUUUACAUGAGUAACUCGCGUGACGUUGACGUAUGAAAUCCAGUCAGAAAUCCAUGUACGUGUAUUUACCCUGGGUAUUCCCGUAACAAAAAAACCAUAGGCAGUAAAAAUCCGCGUUUCGUUGGCAUAUGAAUGCAGAUAAGAUAGGAAUCACACAUACAAACUCUCAAAUUCGGCGGUGCUAUUUCAUUCUUCAACGCGCGCGAGCGAAGUCGCGCCGCAGGAGAAUCACGGCAACAUGUCAACAUGCUCAAACCGAUGACACAGAACGCCAUGCGUGACCCGUGCUAACCAGCAUUUCGCUACAAGGGCAAGCGCUUCCGGUACACAAGUUUCUGUUCCCGACUUCUCACAAUUCAAUUGUCACAUUUCAGUUGGUGGCCGUCCGCGCGGCGUGCGCAUUUCAUCGUGACCUUCAUGCGCUUCACACUUAUCGGUGCAGACCUCGGCGACUACACUUGUCGGUGCAGACCUCGGCGACUACGACUCGGCAUUAAGCUGAGAUAGUGGGCGCAGAAGUGCAUCUCCGCCAUGCCGGUUCGCCAACGAAUCGACAAACACGUGAGAUCCCGUCCGUGAAGCUCCGAUGUAUCUCACCCGUUUGGAGAGACUCCUGUGAGACUCAGUCAGAAAACCGGUGUGUGUAUGAGUAUUGAGUGAGUGUGUCUGUUUACACAUAGGCCAACAUUAGACUGUAUGUACAUAUACACUGAUUUGCAUCUACAACGACCUCCACUAUACAUUCUUCUGUACGAAGGUAUUCUGGAUUUCAACCAGGUUGCUUGGCACACUUUUACGCCGAUAACUUAUAAAAUGAUAAGUCAUCACCUUUAACUUUGGAGCUAAAGGUACCAUUGAUUUAAUCGUCGUAUGGUAUGGAUAACAUAGUCAUCAAAUUCACGUCUAAGGUAUUCUGGAUUUCAACCAGGUUGGAAUUCCUAAAGCGAUACCUUAUAAGGUAUCGCUUUAGGUUAACGAUGAUAAGUCUGAGUUUAACGUUGGAACGUGAAUUUGAUGUAGCGCUAGACCAUCGUUCUUGAUUUAAUUGUGUCAAAAAUGUCGACAACUAUAUGUAGCGCUAGACCUACGUUCUUGAUUUAAUGGUGUCAAAAAUGUCAACAAUAUAUGGGACGAAUAGACCUUCGACCUUGAUAAACGAUACCAGGUGAUUGUUACAUUUUGGUAAGUUGGGGUCGUGUAAAGAUCGGCUAGCCGAAUACCGUAUGGGAGGAUUAACUCAAGAAUGACGAGUUAUCUGGAAAUUUUCGUUUUGAUCGAUUUUCACUCUCAAGACGCUAUUUUCCCAUUCAACCGCGCGGCGCCGUACGGCAUGACGAGCGCGGUUCCGAGGGAGCAAAGCCGAACGAGCCCGAGGAGCGCGGAGCGUCCCCUCGCUCUCGAUCCUCGCCCGCACUCCUCCGCUGCCGCGCGAGCGAGUCUGAGGUUUCUGGUGCGCUCCGCGACGGAGCGAAGGACCUCGCGAGGCGAAAUUUCCUUUCAACUCCCUUUCAAACGCUACCCGAUCAAAAAUUUCGGGAGCAACCGGGCGGACAAAUCUGAAAAUUUUCCCCUCCGGGGUGUCCACACCUGCCUGAAAUCCAGAAUACCUUCGAAGGUACGAAGGUAUAGAAUACCUUCGAAGGUAGAAUAUAAUGUCGAAUGGCCAACUUUAUUAUUUGUAAUAUGAUACUCUUACCUUCAUAUGAUAUCAACUUGAGAUUUCUUCACACACGGCGCGCCGGGCGAUUUCCAAAAUGCGCUCAACAACCCCCAUUUCAAGUUAAGCAGCGGCUUUGUCUUUGGGAAGCCGGAUUUCGCCGACGAUGCCUGCGCUGAUCCUUUUUGGACGCUCUUGGCUUGUCGCUUCAGACGAUCUCCCUAUCCCGAUGCUAUGUUUGAUGGUCGUGCACACAGUUUGGUGCGAGUUUUCGAAUCAUAUACUCGCGCUUCGCGCAGUACGAGAUACAAUGGCCACUUAUCCUUCUUGCGCAGGUGCACUGUCGUUCUGCUUGUCUACGAAAGUGAGUACUUCUGUUUAUCUGUAGAUUUCCACGGCCACGCUUUCCUCUCCGCCCGAUUGUUCCAAGCUCCACCUUGACUUUUGUCGCAACAGG
rnacentral:lncRNA from 1 species